rnacentral:lncRNA from 1 species
GACCUGGAGGGAGAAUCGCCUAUGGUAUUGCCUGCUGUAGGAGAGAAUACCACGGCGAGAUCUAACAGUCAUGGUUAUACGCGUAGCUUGGAAAUUGAUUCUACCUCUCGUACUGAGAGGCAUGCUGCCAGGUCAGAUUCUGUUCUACUGGCACAGCGCCGAGACUGCAUACAAAUUUACCCUGAGUGGCUGGAGAAAAUUGAUUCAGGCAAAAAGAUGUGGACAGCUCUCAAACAAUUUCGAGCAAAUGGGAAGCAUGAAGAGGUUAGUAUAUACACAUGUUCUGGUGUGCUUUCUCAUCAAAUAAUCUAUCUAUCUAUUAUAUAAUUAAGAUAAGAGACAAACAAGCCAUCACGUUCGUCCACACAGAUUAAAUUAUCUCAACCAUUAAUUUCAGAUAUUAAGGGCUAGGAUUUUAAGAUAUAAACGUAACAUACAAAUAUUAGUACAGACAUCGUUUGCACACACGUUCUGACACGUACAUGGAUCUGGGGUGCAAAAGUGCAACAACCAUAACGUGCAUGAGAAGGACAGGUAGAAACCAAGUCCGUUUUCAGGUCAAAAAGAAAAAGAAACGAAGUCCUUUUUUUUUUCUUUUGCAAUAGAAGAGGAAAAAAUAGACACGCUAGACUCCCUAAUAAACGGUUUUUUUGUGGCAUACCAAAUAAACGAUCUGACGGACUAUGGCUAGAGGAAAGUCUUAGAAAAAAACAAACAAGUCAUGUCCUACUAGGACACGUUUUUUCGCUAAAAAAAUACUAGGACACGUUCAACAAGCCCCUACGAUUGGAAUAGAUUAAUAGGCCGACAUGUAAUAUUAUGUAAUGGUUGAGAUUUAGUUAUCAACGCAAGCAAUAUUUGGCAUCAUCUUGGGGCAUCUCCCGUUCGGAUUGCCAGCAGCCGCCGGCCACGUCUAGAUGCAGAUCACGUCAAUGGCCGGUGAAUACAAUCCUUGCAUGUAAAUUGAAGAGGAAGGAAAGACUUGAUGCACGUACACACCCAAAAGACUGGCUGGAGCUAGACAUUCGGAUCACAAGCGCACGGCAGCCAUCGGCCACCUCGAGCAGCAGACGACGUUCAAUCACCGACGGGAUCUAAUCCCUGCAUGCAAAUUUAGGCAGAAGAGAAGAUUUGAUGCACGUACACAUCCAAGAGGCUGGAGCUAGACGUUCGCAAACCCACGGCUGUCGCCGGCAACCUCUAGCGGCAUAUCACGUCAGUGGCUGAUGGGAUCCAAUUCAUUCAUCAAAUUGGGGAAAGAGGGAAGACCUGAUGCAUGUAGGCAUCCAAGAGGCUAGAGCUAGACGUUAUGUAUGUUUCUUUCUCUUGAUUUAUUGGUCUGUUGAUUCUCUUGACAGAUCUAAACAACACAUCAUCUUAUAUCUAGAUAUUUACGUUUCUGCUCAUCUAGAUCUAAACAACACAUCAACUUUUGGUCUAAGGGUGAGAAAAUUUGGCAAAAGACAGAUUUGCCAUGCAUGGAUAGAGCAUAGAAAAUCUCCAAGCAGAGAGACUCACAAGUAAAAACCGCAACUGGAAACUACAUGAUGAUUGAACAGGUUUGAUCAGUAGACUACCUGUUUCGGGUACCUGCUAAAGCACAAGCACACAAGAAAAAGAGAAAUGCUACACUUGCAGGCACUUUACACGGACUAGAGCAUACGGACAGUGCUGUCAUCAUUAGAUUGAAGAGAGGAGGGUUCCACCCCUGAAAUUCAGGGGGAGGGAUGAAUUAGAUGCAGCCACGACUGUCUGGCUGUUUCCGUAACUAUUGUCCGUAAGUAGAGCAAUUUUGCAAGAAAAAAAGGUGAAAAACGGAGUAGCAGUCUGAUCCGUACAUUAGGAAGCGGCAAUAUUAAAAUUAUUCUGGUCAUAGAUGAUGUCAGCAAGAAAAUUGUUUGGUCCAAAAUUAGAUCAUGGGCUUGACCGUCCAACAAAGCAAUUUACGAAUUUACAGUACCACUAAUUUCUCUAUAUUAUUCUGAGAGCUGUUUGUAAAAAAGAAGAAGAUAAUAUGAUGUAUUGAUUCCCAUUAUUUCAUACAAUUUAGACCACGCGGCAGACUUAUAGGCAUAGAUUGGGGACGAUGACAAACGAAUAAACAAAAGUAACAGUGUGAAGUCAUAAAUUAUGUGCACACUAUACUUUUUGGCUUUAAAGAAACUAUAUUGCCAAUAUAAUUGAUGGAACAAGCCAAUGUGUUUCUGAGGAAACCAAUGGGCACGUGCAAGAGGACGAUGCACAUAUCAUUUUAAAACUAGAAAAAAUAGAACACCUCCAACAUGUGUUAUUUAGUUCCUUCUGUGCAAUACACAUCGAUAUGUCAAGAUUUAAAGUGCGAGGUUAUUUAGCAUUUUCUAUGAAUACACAUGAAUAAUUGUAUACCAUUGUAUUACACAGCUAAGCAAUAGAGGUAAUUAGAGCAAUACUAUAUUGGCAUGUGUACAAUAGUAGAAGCAUCUCUGUACAUGAUAUUGCACAAUGGAACUGCAGUAAUCACGAGGCUGUUCUAAUAGACAUUAAUGUUAUAUUAUAACUCUUAUUGGGGAAUCUUUCAAAAAUAGUCAGUAAUUUUUUUUUAUAAAAGGACCAUCAUCGAAAAAAGGCAAAACCAAAUUGAUUAGAAGAACAAGAAAAGGAAAAGAUUGAAAAACUCCAUAUGGGUUAGCAUGGCAUGCAGGCAGCACAAUCCUAUAGUUUUCUAUUGUCACAUACAAAAUAUGUUACUACCAACACAACAACAAAAUAUCCAAUAGAGUCCGAUGAUAUAUGCAUUACUUUGCUUUUGUUGACAAAUGUGCAUUGUAUUUUUGGUAUAUGUCUUUAUUUUGCGAGAUAUUAUUUUUUGUAUAUGUCUACCUCUUACCAAUAUGGAUAUAAAGGCACAUCGGAAAUCUAGCCGCGCAAAUGCGUGGGUCACACUGCUAGUUUUUAUUGUGGGUUAAUCAUCUCAUAACAUAAGGAGUGUUUGCUUGAUGGGCAUUCAGACCAAAUAAUGAACGAAUUAGAUCCUAGGCUCUCCAAAAGAUGACAUUGUGUUUUGCUUCAGUUACCUCAUAGAUUUUCAGCCUUUGCGUCAAAAUGAUUUUAUGCAUUUGUUUUCGCACUAACUUGUAUUUUUUUAAGCACAACCAUCCAUAUAUGUGAAGAAACUCAUGGCCACUUGUGUGGUUGAUAGAAAUCAGUUAACAUCUCAAUUUCCUCAUGUGCUAUUGUAUGACUACGGAGGUUUUUCUAACAUGCUCCUUCUUACCUCCCCUUUUCACAUGAGACGUAAGAGUAUAAAGUAAAUCUGAGUCAUUGACUGCAUUAAGUAGUGGACUUGACUAAAUCUUACCUUCUUAACUCCCAUGUGAAAAGAUGAGGUAAGAGGAAGCAUGUUAAAAUGGCUCAUGAAUGUGGUGCUGCCACAAGUGGCGGAGCUUGAGCAUAAUCCAAGAGGGCCAUUACUUGAAGGGGAGAAAAUUAGAAGGGAAUGAGGGGCAAAUAUCUAGUUUAAACACUAGUUAGGCUUAAAAUAUAGUAUAUUCAUUGAUGGGUGCAAAAAUUAAGGGGGGCCAUGGCCCCUGUUGGUCUACAUGAAGCUCCACCACUUGCUGCUGCACAUUCUACAGUGUUGUUAUAGACACUGACUGACUCUUAUUUUUGCACUAUAUCCAAACGUACUAGCAGUCAUAAGACACCAAUCUGUCAGGAUCUCGGCUUUUGGCCUUCUGCUUGGAUGCACUAAAGAUAUUGAUAUGUGUCGCCAUUCCUGGAUGUCGUGAAGGUUACCUGACUGGAACAAAUUGUUCUGGAGAAGGAUAUGGAGGCGCGACAAACCUAAAGCAGCGAUGAUGCAACAAAUGGAAUGUGAUCAAGAAUGGUAUUCUCUCCAGGUGCACACUAGCAAGCAUACAAAUUAGGGUCUGCAUGGAUGACCAAAACACAUGGCAUUUUUUUAUCAACUAGCCCAUCCUUUUUCCUUUGAUCUAAUAACAUUGGUUGCCAUUUCGGGCUUUUGGGCCGAGCUUCGGGCGAGAAAUUGAAGCCCAGGCCUACCCCAGAUGUCGGGCUUUGGGUCCGGCCUCUAGGUCGGGUAGUCCAUGAACAGGUUUAAUUUUAUCUAUUCACUCGCAUUUUGAUCCUCGUUCAUUAUAGCAUUUAACCAUAAUUCAUAUGAACAUGCACCAUGAGAAUAUAAUAAAGGAAAUGCAUGGGUCAAUUUGUAGUACACAACACCUUAUUGUGCGAUAUCACAAGAACAUUUUUCACCUUGAUUACAGUAGUAACUAUUGUGCAAUCUUAUAUAUCAAAUCAUAUAUUAUAUGACAAAUUAAGUAUAUUGUUUUGCUUAUUUCAGUAUUACCUUCAUAAGGAAUAUAGUCACAAAUUUUGCUCCAAACACAACGUUAUUGAGUUCAUACGAAAUGGAACUGUGAAAGGGAAGCCGGUUCAGAAGGUGCCUAAAUACUUGACUUUCAAACAUAUAGUAAUUAUGUGAAGAUGUAUAUGUUUUUUGUAUUAACUUUAAAGUAUUAAUUUGACACGGUAUCCUAUUUUUGCACAGAGAUCAUCUUAUACUUCUAUGAACAAUCUUCAUGGUAUGUCCAGUUGGCCCCAUGCAUUUGGAUAUUAUUUUGUCUACUAUUAUUACUAUAGAGAGAAAUCUAACUGAAACUGAAAUAUAGUAAAUAUUCAUGGAGAGAAAAAUAGACAUUAAUGUCCACAUACACAAAAAAAUUAACCAGUAUUGUCCUAGUUUACAUGAAUUAAUAUUUGCAAUGACAAUUAGGUUACUCAUGACAUGAUAAAGAAAAAGUUUUUUUGUGAGGUAAGAUAAGGUUUUAUAUAACUGUUCAUGGGGACCUCCUCAUGGUUGCAGAUACAUAGUUUUACAGUGCUUCAUGAAAUAGUUGCAUAUCACUGUGACACCCCAAAAUUUUUAACCUUGUUUUAUUAGUUAAAUUUUUGCCAGGAAACUUAAACUUUUGUUUUCUGGAUUUUCUUUUGAUUUCAGAACCUUUCUUCCCUUUAUUUUUAUGGAGUUUUACCCCAAGUGAAAACAUUUCAAUUAUUGUUGGAAUUAUUUUUCCUCUUUAGUAAAACAAUUCUUUUAUCAGUGGGAUUAUUUGCAUAAUUUUUCCCUGAGGCCUUAUUUCUGUAAAAAUGAUUUUUUUUAAGCUUCAGGGCCUCUUUUGCACUGCAACCCUUUGAUAAAUUCAUUCAAAAAUUCCACCAAAAUUUGGAGAUGUCAUGUGAUGUUUUUAAAACACUUUUAUGCUAAAAUAUAUUUCAUUCCUUGGAUAUUUUGAGUUCUACACCAAGUUCUCAAAUCUGGUCCAGAGGACAGUUUUGCACUACAACCUAUUUAAAUAUUUCUUUAAAACUUCUACCAAAAUUUUGGGAUGUCAGUAGGAGCAUAUUAUUCCAUUAUAUGCAAAAUCCAGGGAUGUUCUUUGAAAUAUUUGAGUGAAUCAUCCUCUUAUUCAUUCUGGUGCAACUUGGUGAUUUGCACUGCAACCAUCUUCUAACUUGCUCCUCUACCCAUGAGCUUUCUCCUACUUGUAGUACACCUUACCAAACCCUUAAGUCCAAGAGCAUGAACCCAUUGGGAGAAUUUUUUUUUGUCCAUGCAUUGAUGCCAUUUACCUUCUGUCCAGAACUGAAGAUUUGCAAAACUUGCACUAGCAAGUUUCUUCUUUUGGCAAACUAACCUCACCACUCUCUCUUUCACCUAAAGAGACCCCACUCUGGAAGAUUUGACCAUUCCAAGAAAUGCCUAGGUGCAUGUGGCAUUCUGUCAAACACCUUAUGGGUUUUAGUUUGCACUAUGAACUUGCUUCCCUUGCCUAACUACCUUGUCCAAUAAACUCCUAGCUACCCCUAACCUAGGUCUGCUAAUUCCUAGCCUCAUCCGAGGCCUCUAGCUUGCCCUGGCAUUUUGUCGAGCACAUCCCGUGCGUGCUCUGGGCGCGAGCAGAGCACGCGUUUUGCACGUACCGCGCCCGAGCCGCCACGUCGCGCCCCUGGUUUUGCCCACACCACAGAGCCGCGCCACGCACUCUCCCUCUCACCAGAACACGCCAAGCAGCCCUGGUGCCCUGCAGCACCGCCGUUAGAGCCCUUGGCGGCACGCUGGCGUCCGCAGCGCGUCUCUGCCCGGUCGGUGCCGCCCAAGCCUCUCCCGCUCGCCACCUGCCCCUGGAACAGCUCAGCCUCAUCCUCUCGCGUGUCCUCUAGCUCUCGUCGCCGCCACGACGCCCUGCUGCUAUAGAGAGGCGGUUCGCCGGUGAACUUAUCCACGGCCGCCGCAAACCGACCUCGUUACACUAUAAGAAGAGGCCCCGAGAACGUCCCGUUCCACAGGCAGCCUCAAAAUGCUCCCCUAGUUCUCCCGUGGCAGCCAAUCGACCCGGGGAGGUCUUCUUCCCCACCUCCGGCAACAGCAGCCGCCGCCACUGUCCCGGCCAUUCCGGCGCCACCAGAGCCUCCCCCUCUCCACUCUCUUCACCAUGAGCUUCCUCUCCCCCUAGUGAAUCCAUCCCCCUGCUCGAUUUUGAUCGAGACUCACUGCGAGAGAAAAAUCACUUUGCCCGACGACCACCGUCCACUGCGAAGCUCGCCGCUGGCAGCUUCGUCCACCCCAGAGACCGUAUCAACCACCGGAGUGACCGUCUCGAUCCCCUGAACCCGCGAAUGGCCUCCGUUUCCUGAACGGUGCCGCCAUUCGCCCGCGAGCAUCGCCGGAGCUCCGCCUAUGUUCGGUUGGAGGAGGCGACGCGCGCGUGGACUGGUCAAACCUGACCAGUGGGCCAGGCGGGUCCACUGUCAGUGACCCAGUGCCGAUCCACACAGGCAUAAGUGGAAACGUAUUUUUAGAAUACGCCUUCGACAUGGUCAGUUCGAAUCGUUUUCUUUUUAUUCUGUUUUAUUUUAAAAAAAACAGAUUUUGACCACAGCUUUGACUGCCUAUAACUUUUUAAUGAUAACACCAAAUGAAUUGAUUCCUUUUCCUACCUCUCUCAAAUUUAAUCUAGUUUAUUUUAAGAUUUAUUUAAAAAAAUUCAAACAACUUUUUGUGCUGUUUUGAAUUUGUGUGUUGAUUCAAAUUUUAUUUAAAAUAGGACUUUGGAGAGUGAGAAGCAAACUUUCAAAAGUUUUGGAGUGCACCCUGCCUUUCCACAUAUUGAAGGCAAGCAUUCUGAACCCUGGCAUAAUAUUUUGCAUGCGUUGUUUGACACGAUUAUGACACCACCUCAGUACGUGGAACUCGUUAGUUUAUGUGGUGAUGUGAUCGUUUGCAUAAAUGCUUAUUGGAAAUUUCCUUGCUGUUGGAAAUGGACAUGCUUGUGAUAGUGAUCAUCCUCGUAUGCCUUUCAUGCCUACCGGAAGGAAAACGGGAAAGUCUCUGUCUUGGGUAGACCCGAGCUUGUCCCUAGUUCCUCGUCGAGACGAGUGUGUCUGGCAUGGCAUGAGGGGUAUGAUGAGUGGUGAUUCUGUCUGUUGGAUGAAAUAUAUUCGUUAUGCUAAUCAUGCAGUGAACACUUAAAAACCUCCUGAGUCGGCCAUAGAUCGAGUCUUGUUCCAGUAACCCCCAUACUUGUUUCGUACUACCACUUGUCUCUACAACAAGUAGAGUACGGUUCACUAAGUCUUCAACCCCUUUCUAGCACACACCAUAUAGAGAGGCCAUGGUGGAAGAUACCGGUUGUAGCUGGUAGGCAGGCCACCUGGUCCGGGGGCAUGGGUGUUUCCGGUUGAGACCGAGAGGGGAGGCCACCCCUUAGAGCGCGCGAUAUAAAUUUGAUCCCAUGCUACGCGAGGUUGUAGCAUCCCCACUUAGAGUUUUGCUUAACAAGUGUUGUGGGUGAUUCCAGACACCGGUAAGUUAAGCUGGUGUGUGCAAGUUAGGUGUGUUUUCAACUAAAAGGCCGUAGACGGAAUUAGUCCCGAUGGACUAAAGGAAUCCGUUACUCGUGGGUAAAGAGUACACCCUCUGCAGAGAUUAAACCUAUUCGAAUAGCCGUGUCCAUGGUUAAGGAUUACAGUCUGGGAUGGGUCAAGUGUCGGUCUUAGUGUCGGUCUUCGGAGGAGAAACUGUUAUACCAGAACUGGGAUCACGACUUGAGACUUGUAAUGAUUAUGAUUAUUAUUUUGUUGUGGACUAACCCGUUAUGUAAUUGGCAUUAUCGAAUAUCCCUGGGAUGGUGCUACCUCCUGGAUAUUCACUGUGAUUAUUUAUAAGCCCUUUAUGUGGUGUCACUGAGACGCCCGACUAUGGCAUGCUUGUUACUUAUUUACUUUAUAAGCCCUUUAUGUGGUGUCGCUGAGACGCCCGACUGUGGCAUGCUUGUUACUUAUUUACUUUAUAAGCCCUUUACGUGGUGUCGCUGAGACGCCCGACUGUGGCAUGCUUAUUAUUUACUUAUUUUGUAAGCCCUUUAUGUGGUGUCGUUGAGACGCCCGACUGUGGCAUGCUUGUUAUUUACUUAUUUUAUAAGCCCUUUAUAUGGUAUCGCUCAGACGCCCGACUGAGGCAUUUCUCUUUGUUUACUAACCUUUCGAGGCGUCGCUUCAGACACCCGAUCGGUGCAUUUUAUUAUUAAUAUGUUAUUGCAUAUUCAUAAAUAACCUGCUUGCAUGCAUCAGAGUUUUAUUAUCUUUUGUGACUAACGUCGUGAACUUAAAAUAUUUCAGAACAUCGUUGUUAUAUUAUACAUGUAUUCAUAAUGUUUGCGAGUACAUUCAAAGUACUCACUGGCUUGUCCCUGGCUAUUGUCUUGGCCAGAUUUCUUGCGCGGAGAAGAGCGACUGUGAUGAUAGCUCUGGAACCUAAGCUAUGGUGAUAGCAGCCUCGCGAAGAUAGGAGUUAACCUGGUCAGCUGUUCCUGUGGGAAAUGGAGUCCCAUAGACGCUGAUGACCCACAAACUGCUUCCGCCAUCAACCACGAGAAACCAUUUGUUGUACUCACAGGCCAUAAUGAUCUUGUGCUACAUAUUUUGUAUUUUGCUUGGAAUUCUGUAACAAGUUGGUGCCUCAUCAGCUAACAGUAAUCCUGGGGCUCGUGAGCACAAAGGCCAUUUUCUGGGAAAUUAUUACCCGGAAAACCGGUCGCCACAAUCACCAUGUCUAAAAGAAGAAUCAUGACGGACACAACUUCAAGAAAUUCUUCUUGUCAAAUAACAUGAUUUGUAUAUAGCUCAUAGAGGAUAUAACUUGUUGGUAGAAUUUAAUAUUGUGACACACUCGCCAUCUUUUGUGCCAGCAUUAUUUGGGUGAUGAUUUAAUAUCCAAAAGCAUACAGGUAGUUAUGUGCAAUGAUAUUCUUGUGAAAAUAACUUCCAUAGUGUAUACUUGCAUAUAUGUAUUGCUCUAUUGUAUUCUCACAGUUAAUCCUUUUUCUUAAUUUUCUGUUUGUUUAUUUAUGUUUAGAGCAAGAUUAUAAAUUAAGCUGAGCAUAAUUUCUGCAGAUUAUAGAUGGCCCAAUAAAGACAAAGGGCGAAGGUACAAACUUCAAGUAAUUCUUCUUGCCACAUAGGUUUUUCUAAUUGUGCGAGCAUACCAGUUGUAACUGCCUUCAGUCAUCUAUGUCAGUAGUAUUUUGAGAAGAAUUUCAUUACAAAAUGCAACGACUCAAAUAAUCAGAUUGUUCAUGAUGAUUCCUAAUUGUAUAACCAAUAAGCUUAACACACCUUCCUAUUUUAGAGUUGUUAUCUUAAUAAGUAUAUACUAUAUGUUAUUAAUGUUGUUGUUGGGUGAAGAACAUUUGUUGCUCAUGGUUAGAAUGCAGAAUUUUCUUAACACAACAACCUAGAGCGAAUGUGGAGGCCAAUAUAGAUUAAAACCAUUAAUUCAUAUUAAAAUGGUCAUGACUUCUUAUUUUUAUUUGACAUAAAUGUUUGUGACUUGUUUGAAUUAAUGUGUUCUGCAAUUAUAUGAUACUUCCAUAUUCAUACUAUUUUUAUGAAAUGUGCAGCUAGUUUGUCAACAGGAGCACGAACAACCACAACUUCUACAAAGCUUCCACAUGGUUUCAUUUAGUAUCAUGCAAAAGACAUUGAGACAAUCAAGAUUACUUGAGCAACCUGAAUUAUGUUAGUUGUUACCUGCUUUCAAACGAAUGUGUCCUCUCAUAGUAUGCAUGUACUUCUGUUGUUGAGGAAUUUAUAUCAUUAGACAGUUCUGUUUUUCAUAAUUAUUGAUUAAUGGGUACAUACCUUCAAUCCUGGAAGAUUAUCAGAUAGCCAGCCAAGGAAGCGAUUUGUUUAUUGAAUUGGGCAUAAUAGGAACAUUUUUACAUUCAAAGGAACAUCAUAGGAAUAAUUUGGUAUUUCAAGAAGAUUUUCCAGUCCCCUGCCCCAACCUACUGGAGACAGUAUGAGUGGUGACAGACACAUUUGUAACAUACGAGCAAGCCAGUGCAGCAGCUUCAGUCACAUGCUCUGGAAGCCCAUUUUGGGUCUUCCUUUAGAAGGCUCAACAAGGCCAUCAUCACACCAUUCUAGUUAGUUACUUCUGCAACGAUAUAUGUCCGUAAGAACAUAAGAAGCUAGGGUUCUAGUAGACUUAUAAUGCUCUAACAGCACCACGUUGGAUAUGCCCGUACAAAUAAAAUAACUUGAAUCGAGUCUAUAUGUAAGAACAUAUCUUGUCAUCAGUCAACUACUAGUACAGUAAGAGCAUCAAAGAGGAAUUCAUUUCAUAUAGAAUAGUCGCAAUCAUAUACUUUUGUUCUGCACAUACUGCUCAUUAUCAUGGACAAUGAUGUAGCUAGCUAAAAGGGGGCAUGUGGCUAUAAUGUAAGCAGGGAGGCUCCAGGGACGAGCUCAACAGACAGAACUAACCUGCUCUUGCAAGGAACCAGUAAGCCUUGCUACAUUGUCACCUGCAUGCUGCAUGGCAUCGCGUCCACCAGCUAUUGUGGUAUGUCGCAACUCUUUCCUCACAUCUUUUCACCGAAGCGAUCGUUGGCGAAUUCUAAUCUUUCUGGAACAACAUUCCUAAUUCCCUGCACUAGAAGGUCAUCAUGAUGCAUCGGUACAUCGGAAUUCCGGACACAUUAACAAAAUCUUUGCCCAAACCAAAUUAAGGGGGAAAUGAGAAAUGAAGGAGAGAACCAAAUAGUAAGUUAGGUUAUAUAUAUGUAUGUAUGUAUCUAUAUAUAUAUAUAUAUAUAUAUAUAUAUAUAUAUAUAUAUAUCGUUCAUAGUAAAAACAACCGGAAGUGUAUCCAUGUUGUUUGCUUAGGUGGCUGAAAUCAAGGUCCUAUUCACUGGGAUGAUAAACCUACUAAAUAAAAGGGUUCUCAAAGUCCCCUCAGAACUAGAGUCGAGUAACACAGUCAUGGUCCCAUGGGGUUUCAGGAUAACGACAUGAAAAUGUGGUUAACACAAUCAGCUCUCUCAUUAAGAUUUGUCUUAUUUUUAUCACUACGGGAAAAUUCAUGUUUGCAGAGUGUUAGUGUCUUUGUUGAGUGCAUUAUGUUGGGCACUCGGCAAACAUAUCUUUGCCGAGUGUAAUCCUGAAACAUGGUAAACAUGUGCUUUGCCCACUGUCGUGGAAAAAAACUCUGGCAAAAAAGUUAUAGUUACUAAAAGGUGCUUUGUUGAGUGUCUUGGAAAUAACUCUCGGCAAAAUAGUGGAACUCGGGCAAAGAUGUGCUUUCCCGAGUGCUACACUCGGCAAAAGGGGGUAUGCACUGUGCUCACUGUUUUGGCUGUCGAGAUUGCAUACAACCUUGGAUGAAGAUGAUCCAAAAAUCGAAGUUUUUUAUUUCGACAAGAUGAAUAGUUUUCAUGUUGAGGACCUUUUCAUUUUAGGCCAUAUUAUUUACACUUUUUGCCAUGCCAAAAUAUGGUCCCAAAUGAAUAAGGCAGUGGUCAUAUUUAUUGCAUAGUUUAUGACUAUGGUCCUAACCUUGGCAUUUAUGUGCAUCUUGCCAUUACAAACAAUUUUGCCAAAUAGAGAUUCCAACAUUUUGUACAAAAAUAAUUUUUUUAUUUUUGAAGCAUAAAAAAUUGAUACUUUUGUGAAGCUGGUAAAAAAAAUAGAGUGCAAAAUGGCAUCACUCCAAUUUUCACAAAAAUAGACCAUGCUUUUUUAGAAAAUUCCCAUUUCUUGUGGAUUUUCUAGAUUUCUAGCUACUUUCACACAUUUAUAUGACUUUAUUAUGAUUCCGCAAAAUUAAUUCAAUUUGAACUGUAAUUGUGUGAUAGCUCUGUCCUAGAAAUUUGCAAAAAAUACUUUUAAGUACACAAGUAGUCAUUACCUGGAAAACCCACUUAGAGUUUGAGAGAUUCAACCCCUUACAUGAGUAGCCAUGCCGGCCACUUUCACCCCGUUUGGGAAAAAAUGAAACCAAAAGGAUACAAGUUCAAAAAAUGCAAUCCUUUCAUAUGAACUCCUUUUAUCUGUACUAGUGUGGAUGAAAAUACCAAACUUUCAAUAUGACAGUUUUCAAAGAAAAAUAUCCUUCACAAAUGGGCUAUCCUCUAUGAACAUUCAUGGCUUUCAAGUCAAUGACCAAGGUGAUGACCAUAUUCAUUGCAUAGUUUAUUAUAAUGUGCCUAAAUUAGACAUAUAGGUGAACCUUGCCAUUACCAAUAAUGUUGCAAAAUAGAAUUUCCAACUUUUUUGUUCAAAAAAAUCAUUUUCUAUUUCAGUAUAAAAAAUGGGUGUUUUUUGUGAAGCAGGUACCAAAAACAGGGUACAAAAUGGCACCACUCCAAUUUUCACAAAAAGUAGACCGUAUUUUAUGGACAAUUCCCAAAGUGUGUAGAUUUAUCUCUUAAAAUUUAACAAUUGGUGUAUUUUUUAAUAUUUAAUGAAAAUAAUAUAUGUAUUUUUAAUAGGAAGGGCGGAUAUUUAAAGGAUAGCAUAGACAUCUGAGGGUGUACGUUAAAGCGUUGGAGGUACCUUUAUGUGUCAGUUUACGCCAUGCUCAACCGGCAAUGUGGUAGUAUUAAUCAGUAUAUACUUUUGAUUGUAAAAGAAAUCAAUAUAUAAUUUGUUUGGAUUAUUUUAGUUUGCAGGGCAAACUUAAAAUGGAUUUAUUUAGCCUAUUUUUGUGAAAUCACUAAUUAGGAGGUACCUUUUGCAAAGGUCACACCCCACUUUCAUUAGUGCUGACAGGUGGCACAUGGCAUGUGUGUCCCUUGUCGCAACAUGGGAGUUUCCCCUUUUUGUAGAUUCAUUUUUUAAAAUCUUUUAUCUCUUGAACCGCGCAUUCAAAUCACGACCCAUUUUUAUCGUUGGAUUUCUCCCGCCGAGAUCUUUGAAACUAGUCACAUGUUAAUAAGUUCCGAUGAACUUUUUCUUCACGAAAAUCAAACAAAAAAAUAUGAAAACAAAAAAUACAGAAAGCAAAAAAAGAAAAAAAAACUAAAAUCAAGGUUGUGCUUUUUUACAUUUUUGGGAAGAAAAAGUGUGCUUUCCCCUUUUUGGGAAACACGGUUUUGCUUCUUGUGCAAGCAUAGGUCGUGCUUUUCCCUUUUCAAGAAGCAUAGGCCAUGCUUCUCUUGUUCUCCGGGAAGCACAUAUGUGCCUUUCCUUUCGGGGAGCACAGUUUUCUCUUUCGGAAAAGCAUAGAUGUGUUUUUCCCUUUUCAGAGAAGCACUACCUAUGCAUCUCACCGAAGAACAUGCUAUGCUUUUCCUUUUUUGAGGAAGUAUAGUUGUGCUUUCCCUUUUUUACAGGGUAGCAAAAAUUGUGCUUUCUUCCUUCUCGGGAAGCUAUGCUUCCCGCGGAAAAGCACCGCCUCAUGAAAAAACAUAAAAAUGUUUUUUUUUCAUCAAAACCUAGGGAAAACCAAGAAAAAAAAGAAAACAUGUGUAAAAAAAUCUAAGGGUGAACCCAGUGCACGACACGUGGCGGCAAUUGGAUGCAUCACUUGAUGCGCUCUCAGGUCCUAAAAGUAGCCUAUGUGGAAUCCCCCGAUGAGAUACCCGUUAGAUAGUUGGAGACCUCCUUGCAUCAAAUAGGAGGGUGGCCACAAAGGGGGCGCAUCCUGGUGGGCCGGCCCAGCAGCGUGCUACACUCUAGCGCAAAUUGGUCAAAAUCUAAAAAGUGAUGUGUGAUCAAAGCGCGCAUGGCUAGCCACUCAAGCUAAUGAAACUCUGCUAACUACUAGGCCGUGUUGAACUUUAAAAAGUACUAUAUGAUACCCCGCGCGUUGUUGCGGGAACUCUUAGUACUUUACAUGAAGAAGCUUGUGGAGUGAAAAUAAUUAAAUGAUGAAAAUAUACACUUUUUAAAACCUUUGGUGGUACUUGUAGGAACAUUAUGGAGUGAAAAUAAGUUAACAAUUAAUAUAUUUUUAAACCUUUGAUGGUAUUUUGAGAAUCAUGAGAGAAAUGGUAUAUUAGGGUAUCUCUGUAUUUAUGUAGUUAGAACGCGCCACCCUUCAGCGGGGAAUUAAAUGCAUCGCUAACAUUAAAAAAUAGAGCAUAUAGUUUGAUGGGAAUUUCACUGAAAACAUGGCCAGCCAAGUCUAAAGCUGAAUAUUACACUGAACAGAGAGCCCAAUCAUUGCCUAACACAAAAGCACUAAUGCUUGUUGAGUUAUUUGUAAUAUAGGAGCAGAAUCCCUUCGAAAGAGAAAUUCCAAAAUAUUAAAAAGAUCCAACAGUAAGACAUCCAUACACCUUACAGUUUAUACAUGGAGACAAGCUACAUACCAAUCGCUAAAAAGGUGAAUAUAGAGUCAUGCACAUCAGGCCCUCAUGGCAUAGAUGCAUUUCUUCCACUAAAAGGACAUGCCUUAAGGGGAUUAGUGUAGGUGUGAAGAUCUGGACAUAUAAAUGGCAGGAAUGACUUCAUCUUCCUACCCCUUCUAUGGAAACAGAGGCCCGACUUCAAUUGGGAUCCGUUUGACAUGUUGCUCCCUCUUCAUAAAAUGGAGCUGAUCGUUAUCUAAAAGCAAGCUAGGUAGAUUUGGCAUGGCCAGCAGUAGUACUUGCUACUUUGCCAGUUGUGAUGCAUCAUAUGAGAAGGCAAGGAAGGUUGUGUGCUGCCAUGGCCGGACCCUUUGGGGUGCCAAAUGGUGUUCAAAUUUAUAGUAGGUUCCAUUUUUGGUGGGAAUCCAAGGAAAAGAAGGCAAUGGAGUAAGAUGACAACCCAUUCCCAGACUGCCACUCAAAAUCAAAAUGAAGAGGGUAAAUAAAUGUACUUACUAAGAACACACGGAUAACAUAUAGCUGGCUACAGAAACAGCCAAACUUUGUAAGUCCACGGAAAUUGAGGAAAUUGUGAAAACUAUUUCUGUGAGUAGAAGGAAACGUAGUCCAGUUACCUUUCAUGGUAAUGCUUCUCUUGAGACGAUUCUUAGGAUCCCUGAAGAAUGUCUUCUGUUUUCCUGAAGCGGGAUUCCUUGCUAGAGCAGUACCUUUUGUUCUCUUGAGUUAAGGCAGAGUGGGAAAUACAUCACUAUCAGCUCUAGUUCAAUUGCUUGUAUUUUACAAAAACAUACAAUUGAAACAAUUAUCAGGAAAAGUUAUUACCUUAAUCGCAGCAACUCUUUGAGCAUGCAAUUUGGCGUCUUGGUGUAUAAUCUUCAUGUGUAAACAAUUUGUUUUAGCAUCUAGACUCUAUAAUUAAAAUUAAUAAGUUCUUUAAAAGCCAAAGGCAACUAUAUAGACCAAUACAAUUAAACAAAGGCAGCGGGUAGGUUUCAAAUUUGAAGUAGCAGGGCUCCAUAGUUAACUCUCCAUCAUGCAGGCAUUUAGUGUAGUAGAUACAAGACAUACGUGUGACAGAUUGCAUAUGAACAACAUUUAUUAGUAGGAAAAUUGUACUACCGUAUAUUGCACUAACACUAACUAUAUGAAGAAGCCAAUAGCAUGUAAUUUCAGCUUGCAAGAAAGCGCCACUUACUCUUAUAGAUCGGCUAAUCUACAUGGCAACUUCCGGGGAUGGUGAUGGAUAAGUACAGUUGGAUCGUGUUUAGGUGUUAAUCUAUUUUUAUAAAAAUCAUCUUCCUUUACUUUCAAGGGAGAACUGUAGAGGGGAAAGAACAACAUUUUUUAAUCUAAUGAUCCAUCACUUAUUCACAACUAUUGCAAUAACCAAGUAUGUUGGAUGCAAGGAGGAGGUGAGAGUGCAGGCAACAUGUAUGUCACAUCAUGCGAACAGGUGGGGAUCAUGUUAAGUCAAUGCAGAAGGAUGCGUUGUGUGUCCGCGCACCGUCAACACCGCCGAGUAAACAGUAAACUAAACCUGGGGACCAGCGCUCUUGACCUUCCCAGCUACUUCUGGCAUAGGGGGAAUAUUUGAGGAUUUAUAGUGCUGAGAUUAGGGUUNNNNNNNNNNNNNNNNNNNNNNNNNNNNNNNNNNNNNNNNNNNNNNNNNNNNNNNNNNNNNNNNNNNNNNNNNNNNNNNNNNNNNNNNNNNNNNNNNNNNNNNNNNNNNNNNNNNNNNNNNNNNNNNNNNNNNNNNNNNNNNNNNNNNNNNNNNNNNNNNNNNNNNNNNNNNNNNNNNNNNNNNNNNNNNNNNNNNNNNNNNNNNNNNNNNNNNNNNNNNNNNNNNNNNNNNNNNNNNNUCCUCCCGAAGCUUCCUAGGUUUCUUCUGGUCCAAGAAAAAUCAUCGUAAAGUUUUAUUCGUUUGGACUCCGUUUGAUAUUCCUUUUCUGUAAAACUCAAAAACAAGAGAAAAAAACAGAAACUGACACUGGGCUCUGGGUUAAUAAGUUGGUCCCAAAAAUAAUAUAAAAUAACAUAUUAAUGCAUAUAAAUCAUCCAAAAUAGAUAAUAUAAUAGCAUUGAACAACCAAAAAAUAUAGAUACGUUGGAGACGUAUCAGGAUCAUGUUAAGUCGAUGCGAAAGGAUGCAUUGUGUGUUCGCACACUGGAUGCUUGUAUUUAUAUGGCUCUAUCAGCGUCGCCGAAUAAACUAAAUCUGGGGACCGGUGCUCUUGACCUUCCCAACUACUUCGACUGGAAAUCAGAUCCUCCAUGCCAAAUAAGAAAGACCAUUCAGGUCGUGCUGAUUGAGAGGAAAGAGACCACUCACCUCCGACAAUGGCACGUGUGGCUCGCCUGAAGGUCCUUGGGUUGAAUCCACGGUGUUGGGCUAGCGUAGCACCCAUUGGCGGCAAUCAUGGGGCUCCAAGAUGGCGUCACCAUGUAGAUGUCUGGUGUUGUUGGCCAUAGACGGUUUUGUCAAAGGCGACGCAUUAUGGAAAGAUGGAUAGAUGAAAGAGGGGAGGAGAAGAACCUGGAAGACAAUAGAUAUUUAUUGGUGAAGGGGAGAUGAACGGAAUCAUCGGGCGAAGAGGUGAUGGCUCGUGUCCGCAUUAGUAUUUUCCCCGAAGAGGAAGGGAUGAUGCAACACAGCUACGGUAGGUAUUUCCCUCAGUGAUGAGACCAAGGUUAUCGAACCAGUAGGAGAACCAUGCAACACUAUGUAAACGGUACCUGCACACAAAGAACAAAUACUUGCAACCCGACGCGUAAGAGGGUUGUCAAUCCCUCCCGGGUAAAAGAUAGAUUGGUUUCUAGUAGAUUGGAUAAAUAGAUCUCGCGGAAACCCAAAAUAAAAUAAAUAACAAAAAAUUGCAUCAAGGUAUUUUUGGGUUUUUAGAAUAAUAGAUAUCUAUACCUACUAAUAAAAGAAAUAGGUAUUCUUCGUCCGUCAUGCUAUUUUGUAGAAAACCCCCUGAUGUUUCUGACAUUAAACCCGCAGUACAUAUCAAGUGCUUUUUAAAAUACUCAUAAUUUUAAACCAUAACUCCAAAUUUAACAUAUUAUAUAUGGAAUUUAAUUAGAAAAUUAUUUAGAAUCUAAAUAUGAUGUUAUUUUACCUAUUAACAAUUUUUAAAAUAAACUAUCUAGGCUGCAAUGUUAAUCAACAAUGCAUUAUCCGUCUUUUUUUCAUACCGGUAUUGAUUUAGAUUGGGGAUGAAAACCUCAGCAAAAUCAGGAUUGGACAUCAGAUUGAAGAUAAAUUUGUUAGAGACACCGAAUAAAUAAGGACAUGCAUGACAAGAAAUAAAAAGAUCCAAUAAAGAUGGGAUGUCCGCUAUAAAAAUAAAUAAAAGAGAAAAUGCAGAGGAGAUCCGAUAAAGAUGAGAUGUUGCGCUAUUCUCCUAUAUAUAAGAAGAGUAAAAGGAGGACAUGCAUGAAAAAAGGUAAAAAGGAGGCAUGCAUGAAAAAAAUACAAGUUUUAUAAGAAAUAAAUAGUGAUGAAACAGGGACCAAUACCUAUGACAUGUAUGGCAAGAAAUAGUGAUGAAAUAGGGGCACAAGUACCUGAGUCAACAGGAGACCAUAAAAAAUGUUGUUUUCCAGACCAAAAAAACCUAUUUUAUGAUUAAAAAAUCUUGUACCUUUUUAACUCUUCAUGUAUUUAAGAAAUAGCUACAAAUUCUCGGAUUACAAAACAUUUUUUGUAAAUUAAGAGUGUGUGGUACUUUUUUCCCGUUGCAACGCACGGGCCUUUUUGCUAGUGAAAAUAAAAGAGGCAAAUAAUAGAUCGGAAAGCAAAUAUGAUAAAGAAUAGACCCGGUGGCCGUAGAUUUCACUAGUGGCUUCUCUCCAGAAAAAUAGCAUACAGUGGGUAAACAAAUUACUGUUGGGCAAUUGAUAGAACUUCAAAUAAUUAUGACGAUAUCCGGGCAAUGAUCAUUAUAUAGGCAUCAUGUCCUAGAUUAGUAGACCUACUCCUUCCUGCAUCUACUACUAUUACUCCACACAUCGACUGCUAUCCAGCAUGCAUCUAGUGUAUUAAGUUCAUGGAAAAAUGGAGUAAUGCAAUAAGAAUGAUGACAUGAUGUAAACAAGAUCUAUUCAUGUAGGAAUAGACCCCAUCUUGUUAUCCUUAAUGCAACGAUCAAUAUGUGUCUUGCUGCCCCUUCUGUCACUGGGAAAGAACACCGCACGACCGAUCCCAUCACAAAGCACCUCUUCCAUGGCAAGAAAAAUCGAUCUAGUCAACCUAACUAAACAAAAGAUUUGAAGAAGAAUACGAGGCUAUAAGUAAUCAUGUGUCUAAGAGAUCAAAACUCAAAUAACUUUCAUGUAUAAAAUAGAUCUGAUCAUAAACUCAAAGUUCAUCGGAUCCCAACAAACACACCGCAAAAAGAGUUACAUCAAAUAGAUCUCCAAGAGACCAUUGUAUUGAGAAUCAAAAGAGAGAGAGGAAGCCAUCUAGCUACUGCCUACGGACCCAUAGUUCUACAAUGAACUACUCACGCAUCAUCGAAGAGGCACCAAUGAGGAUGAUGAACCCCUCUGUGAUGGUGUCUAGAUUGGAUCUCAUGGUUCCGGAACUUGCGGCAGCUCGAAUUGUGUUUCGUCGACUCCCCUAGGGUUUUUGGAUUUUCGGGGUAUUUAUAGAGCAAAAAGGUUGUGCGGGAGGGCACCGAGGUGGGCACAACCCACCAGGGCACACCUGGGCCCCCAGGCGUGCCCAGGUGGGUUGUGUCCCCUGGGGGCACCCAUCUGGUACUUCUUUGGCCCAAGUUGUUCCGUCUGGUAUAGAAAAAUUCUCCAAAAAGUUUCAUUGCGUUUGGACUCCGUUUGGUAUUGAUUUUCUGCGAAGUAAAUAACAAGCAAAAAAUAACAACUGGCACUGGGCACUAUGUCAAUAGGUUAAUAAAAUGAUAUAAAGUUGCUAUAAAAUGAUUGUAAAAUAUCCAAGAAUGAUAAUAUAACAGCAUGGAACAAGCAAAAAUUAUAGCUAUGUUGGAGACGUAUCAAGAGGCAAUAAGAGGAAGGCGCAGCAAUCAGUUCGACAGUAGUAAAAAAUUACACGAUUCGUUUCGUUGAAAAGGGAAAAAGGAAGCAUUGGUGACGUGGCAGAUUUUCUUACGUGGAUGGCUGCAUGUUGAUUGCUGAUGUGGAUAGGCUACAUGUCAAGAGAAAUAUGGUACUGGGAUGAACUAUUUAGGUAUUAUAGAUGCGCAACAUCACAUCUAAACUCUUUAUGAAAUUACAAAACACGAUGGUUUUUAAAAUGGAUAUAUUUUGGAACCCAAUUUUUUUAAAUUUAUGAAUAAAUUUUUGAAAACUUGAACAAUUUCUUGAGUCUAUGAACAAUUUUUUGAACACGAACUUUUUUUCAAAAUUUCAAAACGCAAUUACUUUUUUAAUGCAACCUUUUUCAAAAUUCAAAAACAUGAUUGUUUGUAAAGUGAAUAUGUUUUUAAAAUUCUAGACUAAAUUUGCAAGUUGAAUAUGUUUUGAGAAACACUCGAAAUUGUGGACGUUUUCUAAAACGUCAAAGAACUUUGAAAAACAUCAAACAUUUUUCAAAGCACGGAUUCUGGGGAAAAAACAAAUUCCGAACAUCUUUUAGAAAUUUUGAAUUUAUGAAAAAAGAAAAAGAAACAGAAAAUGAAAAAGAAAGAAAGCAAGGAAAAGCAGUGAAGAAAUAAAACAGAAAAAGGGAAAAAACCUGAAAAUAGUGGUAAAGACUGAUCCUAGCUACUUGGGCUAGUCCAUCUAUGGUUUACUCGCUGCUCAUUUCGGAGAUUUCUUUUAGGGGUAAAACCAAGUUUUAUACAUCAAACACCAUAGAGUGUGGGAUAGAGUUUGGGUCAUGGCAUUUUCCAAAGCAAACAUUGCGUCCCAGACCUAACGAAAGAGAAAACCUGCCUAGAUUAUGUGCUUCGACAUUUACAGGAUGAUCUUUAGAUAAAAAAAUACAAUGAAAUAAAUACGGUUGCAACUUGAUCUCGUUGAUAAUGGCUCGUUUCCACAUAGUUUGCUCACAUUUUUGAGAGAAAAUUUAGCCUUGAUGGGCUGGGAAAUUGGGCCAGCCAUCCUCGAGUGUGACUGGCUUGACUUUGUCUAGUAUAAAGCCCAUCACGUUGCCCAAGAGCCCACCCUUAUCUAUUUUUCUACAGGACCCACAUAUGUUUGGUUCCUUCAGCACGAUGGGCCACCUCCCAGCCUCCCUCGCCCGCUCGACAGCUCCCCCACCAAUAGAGUUAGGCCCUCGACCCUCCCCCACCCCAAGGUUGCGCGCAUGUCCCUUCCCGACAUCUCUUCCACACGGCCUCGUCCCACCCCAUGUUCUCCCCCAAGUGCUUUGUCGAGUGUCAUGGAAAAAUAUUCUUGGCAAGAUAGUGGAACUCACGCAAAAUGUGCUUUAUCAAGUGCUACACUCGGCAAAAGGGGGUAUGCAGGGAAGCAAAAUCGUGCUUUUUUCCUUCUCGGGAAGCUGCGCUUCCCGUGGAAGGCUUCAUCAAAAACCAGAAAAAAAGAUUUUUUUUUUCAUCAAAACCUAGGGAAAAUAAAAGAAAAAAAACACGUGUAAAAAAUAAAAUCUUAAGGGUGUACCUGCACACGACAUGUGGCCGCAGUUGGGCACAUCACUUGAUGCGCUCUCAGGGCCUCAAAGUAACCUCUGCAGGAACCCUCGACAAGAAACCCAUCAGACAGUUGGAGUCCCCCUUGCGUCAAAUAGGAGUGUGGCCACAAGGGGAGCGCGUCCUGGUCGGCCGGCCCAGUAGCCUGUAGCACUCUACCGCAAAUUUGUCAAAAUCUAAAACAUGACGUUUGAGCAAAGCUCGCAUGGCUAGCCAGUCAAGCUGAUGAAACUUUGCCAACUACUAUGUCGCGUUGAUCAGUAAAAAUUAUGUGCAACAUCACAUAUGAAAAAAAAUUGGAAUUUCAAAACACGAUUGUUUUUAAAAUGAACUAGUAAAGUGGCCCGCUCGAUGUGCGGGCUAGAUUUUUAAGUUUUUUUUAAUAAUAUCAUAUUGUUUGAUUUGGCUAAAGAAAAAUUGGAACCCAAUAUGACGACUUUAUUGUGCGGGCUCAAUCUUUGAAUUGUCUAUUAUGUUUUAUGAUUGAAUUUCUUAUCUGUAGUAAGUCAAUACAUAAUUAUGACGACUUUAUUGUGCGGGCUCAAUCAAUAUUAUUAUUUACUGUUAUUCUUCUUAUUUUUAUUGUUAAAAAAACAAUGUUAAAGUCAACCCAUUUGAAAAAAACUAAUUUAAUGUAAGUAUAGUAUCUAAAGUCCUAGUAUAGUAAUUUCAUUUUAAUUUAAUUUUAUUGUAUUCUUCCAUUUUGAAAAUGUAUUUUUAUUAUGAAUCUAGCACUUUAGUUAAAAUACAAAUAAAACUACUACAUUACUGAUCCCAAAAUUAAACAAAAAUGUGUACAUAAACUUGUCUUUAUCAUCGAUGAAUUACAACCAGAUCAUAUGUUUAAAUAAUGGAUAUUUAUAUUAUUAAUCAACCAAGCAUAGUUCUUUUGAUCUCGUAGAUUGUGAUUUCCCAAUAGUGUCUUGUCUUUUUGUUUAUGUGCAAAUAAUAGUUCACCUAUCAUAUUUUACGAGAAUGGGAAACAAAUAUAAGAAAUAGAACUGAAAGAAUUAUAUGGACGUCUAUUCUUGGAAAAUUGUUUAUGGUGUCACCAUCUCGUUCACGUGUGAGUAUGCAAUCUAAUUUCUAACAUGGCAUUCUUUCAUCCGUGAAGAAAUUUCAAGUUAUCACAACGCGACAUGAGUUCGAUAGAAUAUUAACUCAUUCGAAAAAAAAGAUAUGUACAUACAAAACUAAUGAAGUAACUUCAGUAAAAAUUAAUAUGUUACCCAAGAUUUUGAGGGACUGUGAUUUUGAAGGGGUAUUACAUUUUUGUAAUGUUAACUUGACACAUUGGUGAGAAACACAAUUCGAAUAGAAUACACUAAAGCUGAGAAAACAGAACUUUGUUGAACAAUAAUUAACCGGCUAAGAACUUACAAUGUAUCAUGCCUUUGCUGUUAACAACUAUAUGCAGCAGUAUUUUUUUUAUAUUUAUAAUUAUCACUCAAACUAACUUUUUAGAAAGCAUACUAAUUAGUUAGAUAUUCAGGGAUGCAUUGAUAACAGUAAUCGCUAUCGUCUAGCCUUGCCUCCUGUCUGAUGCACUACAAGCAAAGGAUUCAAAACUACGUUUUCCUGUAAUGUAAAACAAUAAUACUUCAUGGAGAUCAUGUUUGCAUGUGCAUAUGGAAUUCAUCAAUAGUAGGUAGAAAAGUCCUAGCUAGCUUAGCCUAGCUUAGGAUAACGCCCUGGCAUCUAAACUGCUUCAUAUAUGCAAUCCAAUUGUAUGGGUCAAAUAUACAAAACCUGAAGCUCAUGGUCUAGAUGUUUCAUUGAUAAUAUCAUUUCCACCAGACUGGCGACCGAUUAUACAGUAGUCUACCUGUAUUGUUUAACACUGAGAUACCGCAUCAGCCAAAUCAUAGCACCUGAGGUGCCUCUUCUUGUGGACGGUGAGAGCAUAUCUGUAAUAAUCAUCCUUUGUAUAACAUUAUUUAUACCUCCAAAUGUUGCACCACACAUGUUCAUCUUUAGAGUCAAGCCCUAUUGCAGCGCAGGUUGUGCUUGGCCAGCACCUUCGUGAUGAACUUGCCAGUGACCACAGUGCAAGCAACUACCAGUACCCAGGAAGCCUCGACGAAGCCAAUGACGUACUGCUCUAUUUCGCGCCGGUGCCAUGUGGCCCACUUGUUUCCCUGAGCAUGUCGGUAUCGACAAAGGAACGAUAGUCGCUAGAUUAAAGGGAAGUGAGAUGGAAAGACACACUCGAGGAGGAAGAUGUUUAGGACUAUGUAUUUGCAUACUCUUUUGGAUCAAGGACGUGGGAUGUAAGUACGGUGUUUGCCUUUUUUUCUUUCUCUUUUUAGCUUUGAAGGGAUGUGUACAUGUUUUUUUUAUGUCUACAUGCUUGAUUUUUUUCCUCUAGAGGGAUAUGUACUUGUUUGUAUUUUUAAAAGGUUGGGGGAUCAUUCAUUUUGUACGCACUUGUUUUUUUUUCAAAUGUAUGUACGUGCCUGAUGGAUAUGUGUGGGGACGUUCUUUUUUAUAUAUGUGGGAUAUGUACGUGCUUGUAUUUUUAAAAGGCUGGGGAUCAUUCAUUUUGUACGCACUUGUUUUUUUUUCAAAUGUAUAUACGUGCCUGAUGGAUAUGUGUGGGGACGUUCUUUUUUUUCCAUGAUGGAUGAACGAUGUGGGAUGUGUAUUUUUUUAUAUCUGGGGGUACACUCUUUUUUAGUGUCCACCGGGUUAUGAAGAUCUAAGGCCUAUGAUUAUAAAAAGAAGAAAAGAAAAAAAUCACCGAUGAACUAUCGGGUUUCUGGUGGGGAGAUGGACAGGAAAAGAGGAAAAUGCAUUGGUUUGCGUGGUGGAAAAUGUGUGUCACAAAGAAGAAAGGUGGAUUGGGCUUUAGAGACCUUCACAACUUUAAUCUUGCUAUGUUAGCAAAGCAGUGUUGGCGACUUCUUCAAAAUCCGGACUCUUUGUGUGCACGAGUUUUGAGUGCAAAAUACUACCCUAACGGGGACAUCCUAAAAGCGGGACCGAAGAAAGGGUCUUCAUUUACAUGGCAAAGCAUUUUAGCUGGGGUUCAGACUUUCAAAAGGGGCUGCAUAUGGCGAAUUGGUUCUGGCUCACACAUCAAUAUUUGGGAAGAUCCAUGGAUUCCAUCUAGUGAGUCGAGAAAAGUUAUUACCCCUAGAGGAGGAAUUAUGUUAACAAAGGUGGCAGAGAUUAUUGAUCCCCAUACUGGACAGUGGGAUGAGGCAUUGUUGCGUAGUGUGUUUUCACCGGUUGAUCUAGAUAGAAUAUUACAGAUUCCCCUACAUGUUGAGGCAGUUGAAGAUUUUUUAGCCUGGCACUUUACGAGGUCCGGAACCUUCUCUGUCCGCUCGGCAUAUCAGGUGGAGUUUGAUCAUCAGUUUGGACGUCAUUACUCAAACUCGAAUAACCCAGGUACUGCUAACCUUAAUAUGGUUUGGAAAGAUCUGUGGCAACUGCGGCUCCCGGGGAAAAUAAAACAUUUUGGUUGGAAAGUCCUAAAGGGGGUCUUGCCGUGCCUCGGUGUUCUGGCAGGUAGGCAUAUACCCUUGGUUCCGCAAUGUCCGCUUUGCAAGAUCGGAUUAGAGGACGUACAACACUGCCUUUUUACAUGCGCACGGGCAUCUGAUGUUUGGUCUGAGUUAGGAUUGCAGAAUGAUAUUAUAAAAGCCAUGCGGCAAGAUCGAUCUGGUUCUAUAACUUUGGAAAUUCUGGUCCGCAUGCGUACCAUGAUUCAUGAGCUGCCAAUGGCUGAACUCAUCUUGGUUGCGAUGUGGUUUAUCUGGUGGCAGAGGCGCCAAGUAACUAAUGGGGAAUCAGUCCAGACACGGGAACAAACAUCAAUAUCUAUCCGAGUUUUAGCCACCAACUUCGUACGAGCCUACACACCAAAUCAGCCGGUACGUACGAUCAGUCAUCAGUGGAAGAAGCCAUUGGAGGGAGCGGUAAAAGUUAAUGUCAAUGCGUCAUUCCAUGCGGACAAUUUUUCAGGAGCCUGCGGCGCUAUUGCUCGUGAUGAUCGAGGCAAUUUCUUGGCUGCAACUACUUGUGCAAUACCGCAUGUGUCUAGUGCAACCUCUGCGGAAUUGUUAGCUAUCAGGUGUGGUCUGAUCCUUGCAGUGAAUCUUGGAUGCACUAAGCUUAUUUUGGAGUCUGACUGUACGAUUGCUUUGGAGGCUAUAUCUGACCCAAACGCAUACAUGGGAACUGAUGUUCCAAUAGUAGUAGAAUGCUCUCUUAUGGCAGUGAAAUUUAAAAGCAUCAGUUUUACUCAUUGUAGCAGAGAAGCGAAUAUGGUAGCGGAUGGCUUAGCAAAGCAUAGCUUUAGUCAUAGCAAGUCUGAAACUUGGGACGUUGUCCCGGACUUUAUUCUGCAUUCUUAUGUAAAUGAUCUUGCUCUUAUUUGAUGAAUAAAGUUUUAAUGCUCAAAAAAAAAGAUCUAAGGCCUAUGAUUUAUUAGUACAGAGAAGUUCUAUUAAAUCAACCAUCGGAUACUUCUGAUUUUUAUAGAAUUUUUGAUCAUAUUUCUCUUUGUUGGUUAACCUGCUAUUUACUUUUAAUAUAUAGUAGAUACUAUAUAUGCAGUACGUGACCAUGUAUGAGUUUGUGAGGGAUUCUCUAUAUACACAUAUGUGCGUUUGUUUUUUCCUUAUGGAAUAGAUGUGCAUGCACAUGCUUUCCAAUUAACAUGGUAGGCUUGCCAAAAAAAAUUUAACGUGAUUCCUCACGCAACAUCUUUUUUUAUAGAAGAGCUCUGACAACCGAAUAAUCCAGGCUUUUUUUCUAGAUUGGAAAAUAUCUACGUGGGACAUGUGCCACGUAAAUCCUUAGAGGCCCAUCAUAUUAUAUAUGUUACGUAAAUUGAACGGUCACGUAAUCUUAAUUUUAAGAGAUUUACCGGAUCGAGGGUUGAUAUUUUCUAAUUAAUGUGGAAUUUUCUAACCUAUUUCUCUCCCUUCUGGUUCACCGUAUAUUACUUUUAGUAUAUAAACAAGAUGAUUUUUGGAACAUGGACUUUUUCCAAAUUUAUGAAUAAAAUUUGAAAACUAGAGCAAUUUUUGACUAUAUCAAGGUUUUUUUAAACACAAACUUUUUUUGAAAUUUUAAAACACGAUUAUUAUUUUAAUGCAACCUUUCUUAGAUUUCAAAACACGUUUUUAAUGAAUAUUUUCUUAAACCCAACCAAAAGUUGAAAACUUGAACAUUUUCAAAAACACUCGGAAGUGUGGACAUUUUCUAAAAAACGUGAAAGGAUUUAGGAAAACUUCAAACUUUUUCAAAGCACGAAUAAUUUUUGGGAAAAAUGAAACAAAAUAAAAUUCCGAACAGUUUUUGAACAUUUUUUUAGAAAUGUUGAAUUUAUGAAAAAAAGGAUAAAUUAUGAAAGAAAGGAAAAUCGGUGAAGAAGAAAACAACAGAAGGAAAAAAACUAAAAAAUAGUGUAAGAAAAAAAAACUAAUCCUAGCUACUUGGGAUGGUACAUAUGCGGUUUGCUCACUGCACAUUUCCUAAAAUUUUUUAGGGGUAAAAGCAAGUUUUAAUCAUCAAACACCAUAGAGUGUGGGAUAGAUUUGGGGUCGUGGCAUUGGUUAAACCCAAUGCGGCGUCCCAAACCUAACGAAAGAGAAAGACUGGCUAGACUAUGUGCUUCGACAUUGAUAGCAUGACCUUUACAAGAAAAAUUACUAUCAAAUAAAGAUGGUUGCAACUUAAUCUGGUUGAUAAUGGCUCGUUUCCCACAUAGUUUGCUCACAGUUUUUGAGAGAAAAUUUAGCCUUGAUGGGCUGGGAAAUCGGGCCAACCAAUCUCAAGUGCGACCGAUUCAUCUUUGUCCACUAGAAAGCCUGCCACGUUGCCCAAGAGCCAACCCUUAUCUUUUUUUUACAGGACCCGUAUAUGUUUUAUUGCUCCAGCAAGACCGGUCGCCGCCAAGCCUCUCUCGCCCGCUCAACAGCUCCCCCCGCCGCCGGGGCUAAGCCCUGGAUCCCCCCACCCCCAGGUUGCGAGCUUGUCCCAUCCCUCCCUCUCUUCUGCGUACCCUCGCCCCACCUCGUCUUCUCCCCCACCGGUGCUUUGCCUAGUUUCUUGGAAAAAACUCUCGAUAAAAUAUUGGAACUCUGGCAAAAUGUGCUUUCCUGAUUGCUACACUCGGCAAAAGGGGGUAUGCAUUGCACUGUUUUGGUUGUCCAUAUUGCAUACGACCUCGGAUGAAGAUGAUCCCAAAAUCAAAGUUUAUCAUUUUGACAAGAUGAUUAAUUUUCAUGUUCAGAACUUUUCCAUUUUAAGCCAUGUUAUUUACACUUUUGACAAUGCCAAAAUAUGGUCUCAAAUGAAUAUGGCGGUGGUCAUAUUUAUUGCAUAGUUUCUGACAAUGGGCCUAAAGUUGGCAUUUUGUUGCAUCUCGCCAUUACAAACAAUGAUGCCAAAUAGAGUUUCCAACAUUUUGUACAAAACUAAUUUUCCCAUUUUCUAAGUGUAAAAAAAUGGAUAUUUUGUGAAGCGGGUAAAAAAACAUAGUGCAAAAUGGCACCACCCCAAUUUACAUAAAAAGUAGACCACAUGUUUUAGAAAAUUCCCAGGUUUUGUGGAUCUUCUUAAUUUCUAGCUACUUUCGCACAGUUAAAUUCAAAUUUGAACUUUAAGUCUGUGAUAGCUUUGUCCUAAAAAUUAGCAAAAAUGUAAUCUAUUUUUUUAGGUGUGCAAGUAGUCAUUUUAUGAAAUCACCACUUAAGUUUGAGAGAUUCAGGCCCUUGCCAUGACUAUCCAUGCCGGGCAUUUUGACCCCGUUUUGGAAAAAUGAAACAAAAAGGAUACAAGUUCAAAAAAAUGCAAUCCAUUCGUAUGGACUCCUUUUAUGUGUACUAGCUAGGACGAAAAUACCAAACUUCAAUAUGAAAACUUUGAAAGAAAAAUAUCCAUCACAAAACGGGCUAUCAUGUAUGAACCUUCACGGCUUUCAAGUCAAACGACCAAGGUGACGACAAUAUCCAUUCCAUAGUUUAUUAUAUUAUGCCGAAAUUAGACAUAUAGGUGAAUCAUGCCAUUGCAAAUAAUGUUGUAAAAUAGAGUUUCCAACUUUUUGUACAAAAAAUCAUUUACUAUUUUCUAAGUAUCAAAAAUGGGUGUUUCUUGUGAAGUGGGUUCAAAAAAUAGAGUGGAAAAUGGCACCACUCCAAUUUUCACAAAAAGUAGACCAUAUUAGAUGGACAAUUCCCAAGUUUUGUAGAUGUCUAGCUAAAAACUAACAAUUGGUGUAUUUUUUUAAUAUUUAAUGAAAAUAAAAAAAUGGGAAGGGCGGAUACUUAAUGGAUAACAUGGACAUCUGAGGGUGUACCUUUAAGUGUUGGAGAUGCCUUUAUGUGCUGGUUUAUGUCGUGCUCAACCUGCAAUGUACUAGAGUUAAUCAUGUUGGGUAACGGUGCAUGGAAAAACAAAAAAAUAUCUACGCACACGUAAUGAUCUAUCCAUGGAGAUGCAUAGCAACGAGGGGGAGAGUGUGUCUACGUACCCCCAUAGACCAAAAGCGGAAGCGUUUGACAAUGCGGUUGAUGUAGUCAAACUUCUUCUAGCUCCGACCGAUCAAGCACCGAACGUACGGCACCUCCGAGUUCUGCACAUGUUUAGCUCGGUGAUGUCUCUCGUCUUCUUGAUGAGUUCCGUCAGCACGACAGCGUGGUGACGAUGAUGGUGAAGUGAUCCAUGUAGGGCUUCGCUUAAGCACCGCGAGAAUAUGACCGGGGGUGUAAACUGUGGAGGGGGGCGCCGCACACGGCUAACAAUUGAUGUUGUGUGUUCUAGGCGCCCCCUUCCCCACAUAUAUAUAGGUGGGAGGGGAGGGGAGGCAGCAAGGGGGCACCCCAAGUAGGAUCUGAAUCCUACUUGGGGUUUCCCCAAGUGACGCCCCCCCCCUUCCUUUUUUCCACCGGAGAAGAAAGGAAGGGGGAAGAAGAGAAGCAAGGGGGGCUGAACCCCCUCUUCUCCUUCUCCUAUUUGGCCACUUGCCAUAGGGGAGGCGCGCCACCCCUUGUGNNNNNNNNNNNNNNNNNNNNNNNNNNNNNNNNNNNNNNNNNNNNNNNNNNNNNNNNNNNNNNNNNNNNNNNNNNNNNNNNNNNNNNNNNNNNNNNNNNNNNNNNNNNNNNNNNNNNNNNNNNNNNNNNNNNNNNNNNNNNNNNNNNNNNNNNNNNNNNNNNNNNNNNNNNNNNNNNNNNNNNNNNNNNNNNNNNNNNNNNNNNNNNNNNNNNNNNNNNNNNNNNNNNNNNNNNNNNNNNNNNNNNNNNNNNNNNNNNNNNNNNNNNNNNNNNNNNNNNNNNNNNNNNNNNNNNNNNNNNNAUUCGAGAACACUUCCGGUGUCCGAAUACUAUCAUCCUAUAUAUCAAUCUUUACCUCUCGACCAUUUCGAGAUUCCUCGGCAUGUCCAUGAUCUUAUCCGGGACUCGAAACAACAUUCGGUCACCAUAUCACAUAACUCAUAUAAUACAAUAUCAUUAUCGAACGUUAAGCGUGCGGACCCUACGGGUUCGAGAACUAUGUAGACAUGACCGAGACACCUCUCCGGUCAAUAACCAAUAGCGGAACCUGGAUGCUCAUAUUGGAUCCUACAUAUUCUACGAAUAUCUUUAUCGGUCGAACCGUUAUGACAACAUACAUUAUUCCCUUUGUCUAUCGGUAUGUUACUUACCCGAGAUUCGAUCAUCGGUAUCUGCAUACCUAGUUCAAUAUCAUUAUUUGUAAGUCUCUUUACUCGUUUGUAAUACAUCACCUUACUAACGGAUGGGUCUUGUCCAUCACAUCAUUCUUCUAAUGAUGUGAUCCCGUUAUCAAAUGACACCUCAUGUCCAUGGUUAGGAAACCUUAACUAUCUUUGAUCAACGAGCUAGUCAAGUAGAGGCUCACUAGGGACAUAGUGUUUGUCUAUGUAUUCACACACGUAUUAAGGUUUCCGAUCAAUACAAUUCUAGCAUGAAUAAUAAACAUUUAUCAUGAAUAAGGAAAUAUAAAAUAAGAACUUUAUUAUAUCCUCUAGGGCAUAUUUCCUUCAAAUCAGUAUAUGUGUGCAUGCUUGGUUGUUAGUGAAAUGUUUUAUGUAUAUGUGUACAUGCUUGGUUGGGCCAACUUUGUGUAUUACAUUUUGUGAAAUACAAACUUGAUAUACGCCACAUUUGUGUUAACGACCAAUAAGUAUAUACAUAACUAUAUUUUGCCUUCUUUUUCCUCCUCCACAAGAAAAGGUCCCGCGCUUUUCUCCUCCUCCAAUUGGCGCCAUAGCUGGUCCGCCCCAUCUUUGAUGGCCUUUGGGCCCUUUAGUACCGUACCGAACCAGCAGCCUUCGCGCCAAGCGACGACCGCCCUUGUCCCUUUCCUUUUUCCAUUCAGCCUACUUCUUAGCUUUGUUCCGUUAGUCUAAGGCAAAGCUUAAGUGGUUUACCUACCUUACCCACUUGAUGAAAGGGAACGGACUUCAUUUCCUUGGCGGCUUUAUGGAUGGAUUCAGUAAGAAAAAUUCCUUCCUUUUGAAAAAAGUGACACCACGAAGGUGAGUAGGACCUCAGGCCCUCGCUGGCGGGAGGGAACCCGUUCUCAUUCUUUUUUGGUUCAAUGUCUUGCUGGAGCUGUGUUGCGGCUAUGAUGUCUCUCAGUAGGAAUAAUGUUUCACAUGUUCUAUCCCUGUCUCGAUGGUGCCUCUAGCAUUAUCAUAGGGCAUGUGGAGGUGUGUCUCUAUCGGAUUUCGCAGGAUUCGGUCGGCAUUGGUCUUCGGUGGAUCUGUUUGGACACGGUCUAUGUUCAUCUUUGUGGUGUUUAUACUAUUGAUCCUUCCGAUCUAUGACUUUCUUCAUCGACGAUGGUUGCUGCUUCGGUGCGCUGGUCCUAUGGGUCCUUAGCACGACAACUUCCUGACUAUUGACUACAACAAGGUUUGCCCGGCUCCAGCGAUCGGGGGGGGGGGGUGAUGGCGAUGCACAGCUUUCUUUAGUGCUUGUAGUCAUCGCUAGGUGGUCCAUGGACCUGGUUGUAAUUUUUUGUAUCUCUGGUGUUCUUUGUACUGCCAUGAUUGAAGAUGAAUAGAUUGGAAGUUUCUCACGCAAAAAUAACUAUAUAAAUAACUAUUUUAGCAAAAUUCGCAAAAAAACUAUUUUAGCAAGUAAUAAAUUUUGACACCAAUUAUAUGGUAGUAAUUAAUAUUUCCCCUAAUAAUAUCCGCAUUGGGUCCAGGUUUUAUACUAUGUAUACAGACGGGAGUAUGUUUGGAUAAUUGUGUGAACACAAGGAUAUAUCUUAGCAAAACUAUUUUUAGCAACAAGUAAAUGAAUUAAUAUAUGCUAGCUAUACUCUGCUGGUGAAAACAUGGUUUAUUAGUUGUACAAAGCAUGCAACACGGUUUCACUCCCCUUUAUAUUCAUGGGCGGAACACAAUUUCAGAUCCAAGUUUUAUGUUUGUCUACACACUCCCAUCUUCUUCCCAUAUCAGCAGGAAAAUUCACUCCAAUCAUCUCGCCAUUCUACACUUGGGAAAUCAGGUUUGCUUCAAUCUACCAUCCUUGAAUAUAUGCCCCACAUCUUGUUUCUGCGUCCUAAUCUUAUUAAGCUUGUAAUUAGUAGUUAGUGCAAGAUCAAAAAGGAGCUAUGGGCAAAACACCAUCCGCACCUGCUGAUUUAAUCACCAUAGGACAAGCGGCGCCUAAUCAUGAAAUAGCAGGAGAUUCAAGUGACAGUGAGAGAACAAUCAGUGAGGGUUAUGUGGGGAUCAUGUAUGGUGGUAGCCAAACCCACGAUAGCAACCUGGAAGGAGAAUCUGACAUGGUAUUGCUAGCAACAGAUUCAAGUGACAGCGAGAGAACAAUCAGUGAGGGUUAUGUCGGGAUCCUGUAUGGUGGUAGCCAAAUCCAGGAUGGAGACCUGGAGGGAGAAUCGGCUAUGGUAUUGCCUGCUGUAGGAGAGAAUACCACGGCGAGAUCUAACAGUCAUGGUCAUACGCGUAGCUUGGAAAUUGAUUCUACCUCUUGUACUGGGAGGCAUGCUGCCAGGUCAGAUUUUGUUCUAGUGGCACAACGCCGAGACUGCAUACAAAUUUACCCUGAGUGGCUGGAGAAAAUUGAUUCAGGCAAAAAGAUGUGGAUAGCUCUCAAAAAAUUUCGAGCAAAUGGGAAGCAUGAAGAGGUUAGUAUAUACACAUGUUCUGGUGUGCUCUCUCAUCAAAUAAUUUUCAUUGUGGGUUAAUCAUCUCAUAACAUAAGGAGUGUUUGCUUGAUGGGCAUUCAGACCAAAUGAUGAACGAAUUAGAUCCUAGGUUCUCCAAAAGAUGACAUUGUGUUUUGCUUCCGUUACCUCAUAGAUUUUCAGCCUUUGCGUCAAAAUGAUUUUAUGCAUUUGUUUUCGCACUAACUUGUAUUUUUUUAAGCACAACCAUCCAUAUAUGUAAAAAAAACUCAUGGCCACUUGUGCGAUUGAUAGAAAUCAGUUAACAUCUCAAUUUCCUCAUGUGCUAUUGUAUGACUAUGGAGGUUUUUCUAACAUGAUCCUUCUUACCUCCCCUUUUCACAUGAGACGUAAGAGUAUAAAGUAAAUCUGAGUCAUUGACUGCAUUAAGUAGUGGGCUUGACUAAAUCUUACCUUCUUAACUCCCAUGUGAAAAGAUGGGGUAAGAGGAAGCAUGUUAAAAUGGCUCAUGAACGGUGCUGCCGCCAGUGGCAGAGCUUGAGCAUAAUCCAAGAGGGCCAUUACUUGAAGGGGGGGAAAUUAGAAGGGAAGGAGGGGAAAAUAUCUAGUUUAAACACUAGUUAGGCUUAAAAUAUAGUAUAUUCAUUGAUGGGUGCAAAAAUUAAGGGGGGCCAUGGCCCCUGUUGGUCUACAUGAAGCUCCGCCACUUGCUGCCGCACAUUCUACAGUAUUGUUAUAGACACUGACUGACUCUUAUUUUUGCACUAUAUCCAAAUGUACUAGCAGUCAUAAGACACCAAUCUGUCAGGAUCUCGGCUUUUGGCCUUCUGCUAGGAUGCACUAAAGAUAUUGAUAAGUCUCGCCAUUCCUGGAUGUUGUGAAGGUUACCUGACUGGAACAGAUUGUUCUGGAGAAGGAUAUGGAGGCGCGGCAAACCUAAAGCAACGAUGAUGCAACAAAUGGAAUGUGAUCGAGAAUGGUAUUAUCUACAUGUGCACACCAGAGAGCAUACAAAUUAGGGUCUGCAUGGACGACCAAAACACAUGGCAUUUUUUAUCAACUAGACCAUCCUUUUUUCUUUGAUCUACUAACAUUGGUUGCCAUUUCGGGCUUUUGGGCCGACCUUCGGGCGAGAAAUUGAAGCCCAAGCCUACCCCAGAUGUCGGGCUUUGGGCUCAGGCCUCUGGGCCGGGUAGUCCAUGAACAGGUUUAGUUUGAUCUAUUCACUCACAUUUUGAUCCUCAUUCAUUAUAGCAUUUAACCAUAAUUCAUAUGAACAUGCACCACGAGAAUAUAAUAAAGGAAAUGCAUGGGCUAAUUUGUAGUACACAACGCCUUAUUGUGCGGUAUCACAAGAACAUUUUUCUCCUUGAUUACAAUAGUAACUACUAUGCAAUCUUAUAUAUCAAAUCAUAUAUUAUAUGACAAAUUAAGUAUAUUGUUUUGCUUAUUUCAGUAUUACCUUCAUAAGGAAUAUAGUCACAAGUUUUGCUCCAAACGCAACGUUAUUGAGUUCAUACGAAAUGGAACUGUGAAAGGGAAGUCGGUUCAGAAGGUGCCUAAAUACUUGACUUUCAAACAUAUAGUAAUUAUGCGAAGAUGUAUAUGUUUUUUGUAUUAACUUUAAAGUAUUAAUUUGACACGGUAUCCUAUUUUUGCACAGAGAUCAUCUGAUACUUCUAUGAACAAUCUUCAGGGUAUGUCCAGUUGGCCCCAUGCAUUUGGAUAUUAUUUUGUAUACUAUUAUUACUAUACAGAGAUAUCUAACUGAAACUGAAAUAUAAUAAAUAUUCAUGGAGAGAAAAAUAGACAUUAAUGUCCACAUACACAACAAAAUUAACCAGUACUGUCCUAGUUUACAUGAAUUAAUAUUUUCAAUGACAAUUAGGUUACUCAUGACAUGAUAAAGAAAAAAAAUGUGAGGUAAGAUAAGGUUUUCUAUAAUUUUUCAUGGGGACCUCCUCAUGGUUGCAGAUACAUAGUUUUACAGUGCUUCAUGAAAUAGUUGCAUAUCAUCAUGUCUAAAAGAAUCAUGACGGACACAACUUCAAGAAAUUCUUCUUGUAAAAUAACAUGAUUUGUAUAUACCUCAUAAAGGAUGUAACUUGUUGGUAGCAUUUAAUAUUGUGACACACUCGCCAUCUUUUGUGCCAGCAUUAUUUGGGUGAUGAUUUAAUAUCCAAAAGCAUACAUCAAGGUAGUUAUGUGCAAUGAUAUUCUUGUGAAAAUAACUUCCAUAGUGUAUACUUGCAUAUAUGUAUUGCUCUAUUGUAUUCUCACAGUUAAUCCUUUUUCUUAAUUUUUUGUUUGUUUAUUUAUGUUUAGAGCAAGAUUAUAAAUUAAGCUGAGCAUAAUUUCUGCAGAUUAUAGAUGGCCCACUGAAAGACAAAGGGCGAAGGCGCAAACUUCAAAUAAUUCUUCUUGCCACAUAGGUUUUUCUAAUUGUGCGAGCAUACCACUUGUAACUGCCUUCAGUCAUCUAUGUCAGUAGUAUUUUGAGAAGAAUUUCAUUACAAAAUGCAAUGACUCAAACAAUCAGAUUGUUCAUGAUGAUUCCUAAUUGUAUAACCAAUAAGCUUAACGCACCUUCCUAUUUUAGAGUUGUUAUGUUAAUAAGUAUAUACUAUCUGUUAUUAAUGUUGUUAAUGGGUGAAGAACAUUUGUUGCUCAUGGUUAGAAUGUAGAAUUUUCUUAAUACAACAACCUAGAGCGAAUGUGGAGGCCAAUAUAGAUUGAAACCAUUAAUUCAUAUUAAAAUGGUCAUGACUUCUUAUUUUUAUUUGACAUAAAUGUUUGUGACUUGUUUGAAUUAAUGUGUUCUGCAAUUAUAUGAUACUUGCGUAUUCAUACUAUUUUUAUGAAUUGUGCAGCUAGUUUGUCGACAGGAGCACGAACAACCACAACUUCUACAAAGCUUCCACAUGGUUUCAUCUAGUAUCAUGCAAAAGACAUUGAGACAAUCAAGAUUACUUGAGCAACCUGAAUUAUGUUAGUUGUUACCUGCUUUCAAACGAAUGUGUCCUCUCAUAGUAUGCAUGUACUUCUGUUGUUGAGGAAUUUAUAUCAUUAGACAGUUCUGUUUUUCAUAAUUAUUGAUUAAUGGGUACAUACCUUCAAUCCUGGAAGAUUAUCAGAUAGCCAGUCAAGGAAGCAAUUUAUUUAUUGAAUUGUGCAUAAUAGGAACAUUUUUACAUUCAAAGGAACAUCAUAGGAAUAAUUUGGUAUUUCGAGAAGAUUUUCCAGUCCCCUGCCCCAACCUACUGGAGACAGUAUGAGUGGUGACAGACACAUUUGUAACAUACGAGCAAGCUAGUGCAGCAGCUUCAGUCACAUGCUCUGGAAGCCCAUUUUGGGUCUUCCUUCAGAAGGCUCAACAAGGCCAUCAUCACACCAUUCUAGUUAGUUACUUCUGCAACGAUAUAUGUCCUUAAGAAAAUAAGAAGCUAGGGUUCUAGUAGACUUAUAAUGCUCUAGCAGCACCACGUUGGAUAUGCUCGCACAAAUAAAAUAACAUGAAUCGAGUCUAUAUGUAAGCACAUAUCUUGUCACCAGUCAACUACUAGUACAGUAAGAGCAUCAAAGAGGAAUUCAUUUCAUAUAGAAUAGUCGCAAUCAUAUACUUCUGUUCUGCACAUACUGCUCAUUAUCAUGGACAAUGAUGUAGCUAGAUAAAAGGGAGCAUGUGGCAAUAAUGUAAGCAGGGAGGCUCCAGGGAAGAGCUCAACAGACAGAACUAACCUGCUCUUGCAAGGAACCAGUAAGCCUUGCUACAUUGUCACCUUCAUGCUGCAUGGCAUCGUGUCCACCAGCUAUUGUGGUAUGUCGCAAAUCUUUCCUCUCAUCUUUUCACCGAAAGCGAUCGUUGGCGAAUUCUAAUCUUUCUGGAACAACAUUCCUAAUUCCCUGCACUAGAAGGUCAUCAUGAUGCAUCGGUACAUCGGAAUUCCGGCCACAUUAACAAAAUCUUUGCCCAAACCAAAUUAAGGUAGAAAUGAGAAAUGAAGGAGAGCACCAAAUAGUAAGUUAGGUUACACACAUAUAUAUAGAAAUGCCGUUCAUAGUAAAAACAACAGGAAGUGUAUCCAUGUUGUUUGCUUAGGUGGCUGAAACCAAGGUCCUAUUCACUGGGAUGAUAAACCUACUAAAUAAAAGGGUUCUCAAAGUCCCCUCAGAACUAGAGUCGAGUAACACAGUCAUGAUCCCAUGGGGUUUCAGGAUAACGACAUGCAAAUGUGGUUAACACAAUCAGCUCUCUCAUUAAGAUUUGUCUUAUUUUUUAUCACUACAGGAAAAUUCAUGUUUGCCGAGUGUCAGUGUCUUUGCUGAGUGCAUUUUGUUGGGCACUCAGCAAACAUAUCUUUGCCGAGUGUAAUCCUGAAACACGGUAAACAGGUGCUUUGCCGACUGUCGUGGAAAAAACACUGGCAAAAAAGUUAUAGUUGCUAAAAUGUGCUUUGUUGAGUGUCUUGGAAAUAACUCUCAGCAAAAUAGUGGAACUCAGGCAAAGAUGUGCUUUCUCGAGUGCUACACUCGGCAAAAGGGGGUAUGCACUGCGCUCACUGUUUUGGCCGUCGAGAUUGCAUACAACCUCGGAUGAAGAUGAUCCAAAAAUCAAAGUUUUACAUUUCGACGUGAUGAAUAAUUUUCAUGUUGAGGACCUUUUCCUUUUAGACCAUAUUAUUUACACUUAUUGCCAUGCCAAAGUAUGGUCUCAAAUGAAUAAGGCGGUGGUCAUAUUUAUUGCAAUUUACGACUAUGGGCCUAACCUUGGCAUUUAUGUGCAUCUGGCCAUUACAAACAAUGUUGCCAAAUAGAGUUUCCAACAUUUCGUACAAAGAUAAUUUUUCUAUUUUUGAAGUGUAAAAAAUUGAUACUUUUGUGAAGCUGGUACAAAAAUCGAGUGCAAAAUGGCAUCACUCCAAUUUUCACAAAAAUAGACCAUAUUUUUUGGAAAAUUCCCAUUUUUUGUGGAUUUUCUAGAUUUCUAGCUACUUUCACACAUUUAAAUGACUUUAUUAUGAUUCCGCAAAAUUAAUUCAAUUUGAACUGUAAUUGUGUGAUAGCUCUAUCCUACAAAUUUGCAAAAAUAUACUUUUAGGUACACAAGUAGUCAUUACAUGGAAACCCCACUUAGAGUUUGAGAGAUUCAACCCCUUGACAUGAAUAGACAUGCCGGCCACUUUCACCCCGUUUUGGAAAAAAUGAAACAAGAAGGAUACAAGUUCAAAAAAUGCAAUCCUUUCAUAUGGACUCCUUUUAUGUGUACUAGUGUAGAUGAAAAUACCAAACUUUCAAUAUGACAGUUUUGAAAGAAAAAUAUCCUGCACAAAUGGGCUAUCCUCUAUGAACAUUCAUGGCUUUCAAGUCAAAUGACCAAGGUGAUGACCAUAUUCAUUGCAUAGUUUAUUAUAAUGUGCCCAAAUUAGACAUAUAGGUGAACCUUGCCAUUACAAAUAAUGUUGCAAAAUAGGGUUGAAGGAAAUAUGCCCUAGAGGCAAUAAUAAAGUUAUUAUUUAUUUCCUUAUUUCAUGAUAAAUGUUUAUUAUUCAUGCUAGAAUUGUAUUAACCGGCAACAUAAUACAUGUGUGAAUACAUAGACAAACAUAGUGUCACUAGUAUGCCUCUACUUGACUAGCUCGUGAAUCAAAUAUGGUUAAGUUUCCUAGCCAUGGACAAAAGAGUUGUCAUUUGAUUAACGGGAUCACAUCAUUAGGAGAAUGAUGUGAUUGACUUGACCCAUUCCGUUAGCUUAGCACUUGAUCGUUUAGUAUGUUGCUAUUGCUUUCUUCAUGACUUAUACAAAGUUCCUACAACUAUGAGAUUGUGCAACUCCCGCUUACCGGAGGAACACUUUGUGUGCUACCAAACGUCACAACGUAACUGGGUGAUUAUAAAGGUGCUCUACAGGUGUCUCCAAAGGUACAUGUUGAGUUGGCAUAAUUCGAGAUUAGGUUUUGUCACUCCGAUUGUCGGAGAGGUAUCUCUGGGCCCUCUCGGUAAUACACAUUACUUAAGCCUUGCAAGCAUUGCAACUAAUGAGUUAGUUGUGGGAUGAUGUAUUACGGAACGAGUAAAGAGACUUGCCGGCAACGAGAUUGAACUAGGUAAUCGAUACCGACGAUCGAAUCUCGGGCAAGUAACAUACCGAUGACAAAGGGAACAACGUAUGUUGUUAUGCGGUUUGACCGAUAAAGAUCUUCGUAGAAUAUGUAGGAACCAAUAUGAACAUCCAGGUUCCGCUAUUGGUUAUUGACCGAGAAUAGUUCUAUGUCAUGUCUACAUAGUUCUCGAACCCGUAGGGUCCGCACGCUUAACGUUACAAUGACAGUUUUAUUAUGAGUUUAUAAGUUUUGAUGUACCGAAGGUUGUUCGGAGUACCAGAGGAGUCUCGAAAUGGUCGAGACACAAAGAUUGAUAUAUUGUACGGAUAUAUUUGGACACCGGAAAGGUUCCGGAUGAGAUUGGGACUAUACCGGAGUUUCGGGAGGUUACCGGAACCCCCCGGUAAGUAUAUGGGCCUUAUUGGGCCUUAGUGGAAGGGAGGGAGAAGGAUCAAAGGAGGGGGUGCCCCCCCCCAAGCCCAAUCCGAAUUGGGAGGGGGGCCGGCCCCCCCUUUCCUUCUUCCCUCCCCUCUCUUCCUUCCCUCUCCUACUCCUAAUAGGAAAGGGGGGCCAAACCUACUUGGAGUAGGUUUGCCCCCCUAGGGCGCGCCUCCCCUCUUGGUCGGCCCCCUCCUCCUCUCCCCCUUUAUAUACGGAGGAGGGGGCACCCCAUAGACACACAAGUUGAUCUACGGAUCAUUCCUUAGCCGUGUGCGGUGCCCCCCUCCACCAUAUUCCACCUCAGUCAUAUCGUCGCAGAGUUUAGGCGAAGCCCUGCGCCGGUAGAACAUCAUCAUCGUCACUACACCGUCGUGCUGACGGAACUCAUCCCCGACGCUUUGCUGGAUUGGAGCCGGGGAACAUCAUCGAGCUGAACGUGUGCUGAACACGGAGGUACCGUACGUUCGGUGCUUGAAUCGGUCGAGUCGUGAAGACGUACGACUACAUCAACCGCGUUCUGAUAACGCUUCUGCUUACGGUCUACGAGGGUACGUGGACAAUACUCUCCUCUCUCGUUGCUAUGCCAUCACCAUGAUCUUGCAUGUGCGUAGGACAUUUUUUGAAAUUACUACGUUACUCAACAGUGGCAUCCGAGCCUAGGUUUUAUGCGUUAAUGUUAUAUGCACGAUUAGAACACAAGUGAGUUGUGGGCGAUACAAGUCAUACUGCUUACCAGCAUGUCAUACUUUGGUUCGGCGGUAUUGUUGGAUGAAGCGGCCCAGACCGACAUUACGCGUACACUUACGCGAGACUGGUUUUACCGCCGUGCUUUGCACACAGGUGACUAGCGGGUGUCAGUUUCUCCAACUUUAGUUGAACCGAGUGUGGCUGCGCCCGGUCCUUGUGAAGGUUAAAACAGCACCAACUUGACAAACUAUCGUUGUGGUUUUGAUGCGUAGGUAAGAACGAUUCUUGCUCAGCCCGUAGCAGCCACGUAAAACUUGCAACAACAAAGUAGAGGACGUCUAACUUGUUUUUGCAGGGCAUGUUGUGAUGUGAUAUGGCCAAGACGUGAUGCUAUAUUUUAUUGUAUGAAGUGAUCAUGUUUUGUAACCGAAGUUAUCGGCAACUGGCAGGAGCCAUAUGGUUGUCGCUUUAUUGUAUGAAAUGCAAACGCCCUGUAAUUGCUUUACUUUAUCACUAAGUGGUAGCGAUAGUCGUAGAAGCAAUAGAUGGCGUAAACGACAAUGAUGCUACGAUGGAGAUCAAGGUGUCGCGCCGGUGACGAUGGUGAUCACGAUGGUGCUUCGGAGAUGGAGAUCACAAGCACAAGAUAAUGAUGGCCAUAUCAUAUCACUUAUAUUGAUUGCAUGUGAUGUUUAUCCUUUAUGCAUCUUAUCUUGCUUUGAUUGACGGUAGCAUUUUAAGAUGAUCACUCACUAAAAAUUAUCAAGAAGUGUUCUCCCUGAGUAUGCACCGUUGCCAAAGUUCGUCGUGCCCAGACACCACGUGAUGAUCGGGUGUGAUAAGCUCUACGUCCAUCUACAAUGGGUGCAAGCCAGUUUUGCACACGCGGAAUACUCAGGUUAAACUUGACGAGCCUAGCAUAUGCAGAUUGGCCUCGGAACACGGAGACCGAAAGGUCGAGCGUGAAUCAUAUAGUAGAUAUGAUCAACAUAAUGAUGUUCACCAUUGAAAGCUACUCCAUUUCACGUGAUAAUCGGUUAUGGUUUAGUUGAUUUGGAUCACGUGAUCACUUAGAGGAUUAGAGGGAUGUCUUUCUAAGUGGGAGUUCUUAAGUAAUAUGAUUAAUUGAACUUAAAUUUAUCAUGAACUUAGUCCUGGUAGUAUUUUGCAAAUUAUGUUGUAGAUCAAUAGCUUGCGUUGUUGCUUUCAUAUGUUUAUUUUGAUAUGUUCCUAGAGAAAAUUGUAUUGAAAGAUGUUAGUAGCAAUGAUGCGGAUUGGAUCCGUUAUCUGAGGUUUAUCCUCAUUGCUGCACAGAAGAAUUAUGUCCUUAAUGCACUGCUAGGUGACAGACCUAUUGCAGGAGCAGAUGCAGACGUUAUGAACGUUUGGCUAGCUCAAUAUGAUGACUACUUGAUAGUUUAGUGCACCAUGCUUAACGGCUUAGAAUCGGGACUUCAAAGACAUUUUGAAUGUCAUGGACCAUAUGAGAUGUUCCAGGAGUUGAAGUUAAUAUUUCAAGCAAAUACCCGAGUUGAGAGAUAUGAAGUCUCCAACAAGUUCUAUAGCUAAAAGAUGGAGGAGAAUCGCUCAACUAGUGAGCAUGUGCUCAGAUUGUCUGGGUACUAGAAUCGCUUGAAUCAAGUGGGAGUUAAUCUUCCAGAUAAGAUAGUGAUUGACAGAAUACUCUAGUCACCAUCACCAAAUUAGUAGAACUUCGUGAUGAACUAUAGUAUGCAAGGGAUGACGAAAACGAUUCCCAAGCUCUUCGUGAUGCUGAAAUCGAUGAAGAUAAAAAUCAAGAAAAGCAUCAAGUGUUGAUGGUUGACAAGACCACUAGUUUCAAGAAAAGGGCAAAGGGAAGAAGUGGAACUUCAAGAAGAACGGCAAGCAAGUUUCUGCUCAAGUGAAGAAGCCCAAGUCUGGUCCUAAGCCUAAGACUAAGUGCUUCUACUGCAAAGGGACUAGUCACUGGAAGUGGAACUGCCCCAAGUAUUUGGCGGAUAAGAAGGAUGGCAAAAGUGAACAAAGGUAUAUUGGAUAUACAUGUUAUUGAUGUGUACUUUACUAGUGUUUAUAGCAACCCCUCGGCAUUUUGAUAUUGGUUCAGUUGCUAAGAGUAGUAACUCGAAACAGGAGUUGCAGAAUAAACAGUAAAUAGUAAAAAGGCGAGGUGACGAUGUGUGUUGGAAGUAGUUCCAAGAUUGAUAUGAUCAUCAUCGCACACUCCCUAUACUUUCGGGAUUAGUGUUGAAACUAAAUAAGUGUUAUUUGGUGUUUGCGUUGAGCAUGAAUAUGAUUUGAUCAUGUUUAUUGCAAUACGGUUAUUCAUUUAAGUAAGAGAAUAAAUUGUUGUUCUGUUUACAUGAAUAAAACCUUAUAUGGUUACCCACCCAAUGAAAAUGGUUCGUUGGAUCUCGAUCAUAGUGACACACAUAUUCAUAAUAUUGAAACCAAAAGAUGCAAAGUUAAUAAUGAUAGUGCAACUUAUUUGUGGCACUGCAGUUUAGGUCAUAUUGGUGUAAAGCGCAUGAAGAAACUCCAUGCUGAUGGGAUUUUGGAAUCACUUGAUUAUGAAUCACUUGAUGCUUGCGAACCAUGCCUUAUGGGCAAGAUGACUAAAGACUCCGUUCUCCGGAACAAUAGAGCGAGCAACUGACUUAUUGGAAAUAAUACAUACGGAUGUAUGCAAUCCGAUGAGUGUUGAGGCUCGCGGCAAGUAUCAUUAUUUUCUGACCUUCACAGAUGAUUUGAGCAGAUAUGGGUAUAUCUACUUAAUGAAACAUAAGUCUGAAACGUUUGAAAAGUUCAAAGAAUUUCAGAGUGAAGUUGAAAAUUAUCGUAACAAGAAAAUAAAAUUUCUACGAUCUGAUAGUGGAGGAGAAUGUUUGAGUUACGAGUUUGGUCUACAUUUGAAACAAUGCGGAAUAGUUUCGCAACUCACGCCACCCGGAACACCACAGCGUAAUGGUGUGUUCGAACGUCAUAACCGUACUUUAUUGGAUAUUGUACAAUCUAUGAUGUUUCUUACCGAUUUACCACUAUCCUUUUUGGGGUCAUGCAUUAAAGAUAGCUGGAUUCACGUUAAAAAAGGGGCACCACCUAAGUCCAUUGAGACGACACAAUAUGAACUGUGGUUUGGCAAGAAACCAAAGUUGUCGUUUCUUAAAGUUUGGGAUUGCGAUGCUUAUGUGAAAAAGUUUCAUCCUGAUAAACUCAAACCCAAAUCGGAGAAAUGUGUCUUCAUAGGAUACCCAAAGGAGAAAGUUGGGUACACCUUCUAUCACAAAUCCGAAGGCAAGACAUUCGUUGCUAAGAAUGGAUCCUUUCUAGAGAAAGAGUUUCUCUCCAAAGAAGUGAGUGGGAGGAAAGUAGAACUUGAUAAGGUAAUUGUACCUUCUCCCUUAUUGGAAAGUAGUUCAUCACAGAGAUCUGUUCCUGUGACUACUACACCAAUUAGUGAGGAAGCUAAUGAUGAUGUUCAUGUAACUUCAGAUCAAGUUACUACCGAAUCUCGUAGGUAAACCAGAGUAAGAUCCGCACCAGAGUGGUACGGCAAUCCUGUUCUGGAAGUCAUGCUACUAGAUCAUGAUGAACCUACAAACUAUGAAGAAGCGAUGGUGAGCCCAGAUUCCGCAAAAUGGCUUGAGGCCAUGAGAUCUGAGAUAAGAUCCAUGUAUGAAAACAAAGUAUGGACUUUGAUUGACUUGCCCAAUGAUCGGCGAGACAUUGAGAUUAAAUGGAUCUUCAAGAGGAAGACGGACGCUGAUAGUGUUACUAUCUACAAAGCUAGAAUUGUCGCAAAAGGUUUUCGACAAGUUCAAGGUGUUGACUACGAUGCGAGUUUUUCACUCGUAUCUAUGCUUAAGUCUGUCUGAGUCAUGUUAGCAAUUGCCAAAUUUUACGAAAUCUGGCAAAUGGAUGUCAAAACUGCAUUCCUUAAUGGAUUUUUUAAAGAAGAGUUGUAUAUGAUGCAACCAGAAGGUUUUGUCGAUCCGAAAGGUGCUAACAAAAUGUGCAAGCUCCAGCGAUCCAUCAAUGGACUGGUGCAAGCAUCUCGGAGUUGGAAUAUACGCUUUGAUAAGUUGAUCAAAGCAUAUAGUUUUAAUACAGACUUGCGGUGAAGCCUGUAUUUACAAGAAAGUGAGUGGGAGCACUACAGCAUUUCUGAUAAGUAUAUGUGAAUGACAUAUUGUUGAUCGGAAAUAAUGUAGAAUUUUUCUGGAAAGCAUAAAGGAGUAUUUGAAAGGAGUUUUUCAAAGAAAGACCUUGGUGAAGCUGCUUACACAUUGAGCAUCAAGAUCUAUAGAGAUAGAUCAAGACGCUUGAUAAGAUUUUUCAAUGAGUACAUACCUUGACAAGAUUUUGAAGUAAUUCAAAAUGGAACAGUCAAAGAAAGAGUUCUUGCCUAUGUUGCAAGGUGUGAAGUUGAGUAAGACUCAAAACCCGACCAUGGCAGAAAAUAGAAAAGAAUGAACAGUCAUUCCCUAUGCCUCAGUCAUAGGUUCUAUAAAGUAUGCUAUGCUGUGUACUAGACCUAUUGUAUACCUUCCUCUGAGUUUGCCAAAGGAAUACAAUUUUGAUCUAAAAGUAGAUCACUAGAACAGCGGUCAAGAAUAUCCUUAGUGAGGACUAAGGAAAUGUUUCUCGAUUAUGGAGGUGAUAAAAGAGCCAGUCAUAAAAAGUUACAACGAUGCAAGCUUUUACACCAAUCCAGAUGACUCUAAGUCUCAAUCUGGAUACAUAUUGAAAGUGGGAGCAAUUAGCUAGAGUAGCUCUGUGCAGAGCAUUGUGGACAUAGAAUAUUUGCAAAAUACAUACGGCUCUGAAUGUGACAGACCCGUUGACUAAACUUCUCUCAUGAACAAAACAUGAUCAUACCUUAGUACUCUUUGGGUCUUAAUCACAUAGCCAUGUGAACUAGAUUAUUGACUCUAGUAAACCCUUUGGGCGUUGGUCACAUGACGAUGUGAACUAUGGGUAUUAAUCACAUACAUAUGUGAAUAUUGGUGUCAAAUCACAUGGUGAUGUGAACUAGAUUAUUGACUCUAGUGCAAGUGGGAGACUGAAGGAAAUAUGCCCUAGAGGCAAUAAUAAAGUUAUUAUUUAUUUCCUUAUUUCAUGAUAAAUGUUUAUUAUUCAUGCUAGAAUUGUAUUAACCGGAAACAUAAUACAUGUGUGAAUACAUAGACAAACAUAGUGUCACUAGUAUGCCUCUACUUGACUAGCUCGUGAAUCAAAGAUGGUUAAGUUUCCUAGCCAUGGACAAAAGAGUUGUCAUUUUAUUAACGGGAUCACAUCAUUAGGAGAAUGAUGUGAUUGACUUGACCCAUUCCGUUAGCUUAGCACUUGAUCGUUUAGUAUGUUGCUAUUGCUUUCUUCAUGACUUAUACAAAGUUCCUACAACUAUGAGAUUGUGCAACUUCCGUUUACCGAGGAACACUUUGUGUGCUACCAAACGUCACAACGUAACUGGGUGAUUAUAAAGGUGCUCUACAGGUGUCUCCAAAGGUACAUGUUGAGUUGGCAUAAUUCGAGAUUAGGUUUUGUCACUCCGAUUGUCGGAGAGGUAUCUCUGGGCCCUCUCGGUAAUACACAUCACUUAAGCCUUGCAAGCAUUGCAACUAAAGAGUUAGUUGUGGGAUGAUGUAUUACGGAACGAGUAAAGAGACUUGCCGGCAACGAGAUUGAACUAGGUAUUGGAUACCGACGAUCGAAUCUCGGGCAAGUAACAUACCGAUGACAAAGGGAACAACGUAUGUUGUUAUGCGGUUUGACCGAUAAAGAUCUUCGUAGAAUAUGUAGGAACCAAUAUGAACAUCCAGGUUCCGCUAUUGGUUAUUGACCGAGAAUAAUUUUAGGUCAUGUCUACAUAGUUCUCGAACCCGUAGGGUCCGCACGCUUAACGUUACGAUGACAGUUUUAUUAUGAGUUUAUAAGUUUUGAUGUACCGAAGGUUGUUCGGAGUACCAGAUGUGAUCACGGACAUGACGAGGAGUCUCGAAAUGGUCGAGACAUAAAGAUUGAUAUAUUGGACAGAUAUAUUUGGACACCGGAAAGGUUCCGGAUGAGAUUGGGACUAUACCGGAGUUCCGGGAGGUUACCGGAACCCCCCGGUAAGUAUAUGGGCCUUAUUGGGCCUUAGUGGAAGGGAGGGAGAAGGAGCAAAGGAGGGGGCGCCCCCCCCCCCCAAGCCCAAUCCGAAUUGGGAGGGGGGCUGGCCCCCCCUUUCCUUCUUCCCUCCCCUCUCUUCCUUCCCUCUCCUACUCCUAAUAGGAAAGGGGGGCCAAACCUACUUGGAGUAGGUUUUCCCCCCUAGGGCGCGCCUCCCCUCUUGGCCGCCCCCCUCCUCCUCUCCCCCUUUAUAUACGGAGGAGGGGGGCACGCCAUAGACACACAAGUUGAUCUACGGAUCGUUCCUUAGCCGUGUGCGGUGCCCCCCUCCACCAUAUUCCACCUCGGUCAUAUCGUCGCAGAGUUUAGGCGAAGCCCUGCGCCGGUAGAACAUCAUCAUCGUCACCACGCCGUCGUGCUGACGGAACUCAUCCCCGACGCUUUGCUGGAUUGGAGCCUGGGGAACGUCAUUGAGCUGAACGUGUGCUGAACACGGAGGUGCCGUACGUUCGGUGCUUGGAUCGGUCGAGUCGUGAAGACGUACGACUACAUCAACCGCGUUGUGAUAACGCUUCCGCUUACGGUCUACGAGGGUACGUGGACAAUACUCUCCUCUCUCGUUGCUAUGCCAUCACCAUGAUCUUGCAUGUGCGUAGGAAAUUUUUUGAAAUUACUACGUUACCCAACAAGGGUUUCCAACUUUUUUUGUAAAAAAACCAUUUUCUAUUUUCUAAAUGUAAAAAAGGGUGCUUUGUGUGAAGCAUGUACCAAAAACAGGGUACAAAAUGGCACCACUCCAAUUUUCACAAAAAUUAGACCGUAUUUUAUGGACAAUUCCCAAAAUCUGUAGAUUUAUCUCUAAAAAAUUAACAAUUGGUGUAUUUUUUUAAUAUUUAAUAAAAAUAAUAUAUAUUUUUAAUGGGAAAGGCAGAUAUUAAAAGGAUACCAUGGACAUCUGAGGGUGUACGUUGAAGCGUUGGAGGUGCCUUUACGUGCCAGUUUACGACGUGCUCAACCGGGAAUGUGGUAGUAUUAAUCAGUAUAUACUUUUAAAAAUCAAUAUAUAAUUUGUUUGGAUUAUUUUAGUUUGCAGGGCAAACUUAAAAUGGAUUUAUUUAGCCUAUUUUUGUGAAAUCACUAAUUAGGAGGUACCUUUUGCAAAGGUCACACCCCACUUUCAUUAGUGCUGACAGGUGGCACAUGGCAUGUGUGUCCCUUGUCGCAACAUGGGAGUUUGCCCUUUUUGUAGAUUCAUUUUUUUUAAUCUUUUAUCUCUUGAACCGCGCAUUCAAAUCACGACCCAUUUUUAUCGUUGGAUUUCUCACGCCGAGAUCUUUGAAACUAGUCACAUGUUAAUAAGUUCCGAUGAACUUUUUCUUCACGAAAAUCAAACAAAAAAAUAUGAAAACAAAAAAUACAGAAAGCAAAAAAAGAAAAAAAAAACUAAAAUCACGGUUGUGCUUUUUUACAUUUUUGGGAAGAAAAAUUGUGCUUUCCCCUUUUUGGGAAACACGGUUUUGCUUCUUGUGAAAGCAUAGGUUGUGCUUUUCCCUUUUCAAGAAGCAUAGGCCAUGCUUCUCUUGUUCUCCGGGAAGCACAUAUGUGCCUUUCCUUUCGGGGAGCACAGUUUUCUCUUUCGGAAAAGCAUAGAUGUGUUUUUCCCUUUUCAGAGAAGCACUACCUAUGCAUCUCACCGAAGAACAUGCUGUGCUUUUCCUUUUUUGAGGAAGUAUAGUUGUGCUUUCCCUUUUUUACAGGGUAGCAAAAAUUGUGCUUUCUUCCUUCUCGGGAAGCUAUGCUUCCCGCGGAAAAGCACCGCCUCAUGAAAAAACAUAAAAAUGAUUUUUUUUUCAUCAAAACCUAGGGAAAACCAAGAAAAAAAGAAAACAUGUGUAAAAAAAUCUAAGGGUGAACCCAGUGCACGACACGUGGCGGCAAUUGGACGCAUCACUUGAUGCGCUCUCAGGUCCUAAAAGUAGCCUAUGUGGAAUCCCCCGAUGAGAUACCCGUUAGAUAGUUGGAGACCUCCUUGCAUCAAAUAGGAGGGUGGCCACAAAGGGGGCGCAUCCUGGUGGGCCGGCCCAGCAGCGUGCUACACUCUAGCGCAAAUUGGUCAAAAUCUAAAAAGUGAUGUGUGAUCAAAGCGCGCAUGGCUAGCCACUCAAGCUAAUGAAACUCUGCUAACUACUAGGCCGUGUUGAACUUUAAAAAGUACUAUAUGAUACCCCGCGCGUUGUUGCGGGAACUCUUAGUACUUUACAUGAAGAAGCUUGUGGAGUGAAAAUAAUUAAAUGAUGAAAAUAUACACUUUUUAAAACCUUUGGUGGUACUUGUAGGAACAUUAUGGAGUGAAAAUAAGUUAACAAUUAAUAUAUUUUUGAACGUUUGAUGGUAUUUUGAGAAUCAUGAGAGAAAUGGUAUAUUAGGGUAUCUCUGUAUUUAUGUAGUUAGAACGCGCCACCCUUUAGCGGGGAAUUAAAUGCAUCGCUAACAUUAAAAAAUAGAGCAUAUAGUUUGAUGGGAAUUUCACUGAAAACAUGGCCAGCCAAGUCUAAAGCUGAAUAUUACACUGAACAGAGAGCCCAAUCAUUGCCUAACACAAAAGCACUAAUGCUUGUUGAGUUAUUUGUAAUAUAGGAGCAGAAUCCCUUCGAAAGAGAAAUUCCAAAAUAUUAAAAAGAUCCAACAGUAAGACAUCCAUACACCUUACAGUUUAUACAUGGAGACAAGCUACAUACCAAUCGCUAAAAAAGGUGAAUAUAGAGUCAUGCACAUCAGGCCCUCAUGGCAUAGAUGCAUUUCUUCCACUAAAAGGACAUGCCUUAAGGGGAUUAGUGUAGGUGUGAAGAUCUGGACAUAUAAAUGGCAGGAAUGACUUCAUCUUCCUGCCCCUUCUGUGGAAACAAAAGCCCGACUUCAAUUGGGAUCCGUUUGACAUGUUGCUCCCUCUUCAUAAAAUGGAGCUGAUCGUUAUCUAAAAGCAAGCUAGGUAGAUUUGGCAUGGCCAGCAGUAGUACUUGCUACUUUGCCAGUUGUGAUGCAUCAUAUGAGAAGGCAAGGAAGGUUGCGUGCUGCCAUGGCCGGACCCUUUGGGGUGCCAAAUGGUGUUCAAAUUUAUAGUAGGUUCCAUUUUUGGUGGGAAUCCAAGAAAAAGAAGGCAAUGGAGUAAGAUGACAACCCAUUCCCAGACUGCCACUCAAAAUCAAAAUGAAGAGGGUAAAUAAAUGUACUUACUAAGAACACACGGAUAACAUACAGCUGGCUACAGAAACAGCCAAACUUUGUAAGUCCAUGGAAAUUGAGGAAAUUGUGAAAACUAUUUCUGUGAGUAGAAGGAAACGUAGUCCAGUUACCUUUCAUGGUAAUGCUUCUCUUGAGACGAUUCUUAGGAUCCCUGAAGAAUGUCUUCUGUUUUCCUGAAGCGGGAUUCCUUGCUAGAGCAGUACCUUUUGUUCUCUUGAGUUAAGGCAGAGUGGGAAAUACAUCACUAUCAGCUCUAGUUCAAUUGCUUGUAUUUUACAAAAACAUACAAUUGAAACAAUUAUCAGGAAAAGUUAUUACCUUAAUCGCAGCAACUCUUUGAGCAUGCAAUUUGGCGUCUUGGUGUAUAAUCUUCAUGUGUAAACAAUUUGUUUUAGCAUCUAGACUCUAUAAUUAAAAUUAAUAAGUUCUUUAAAACCCAAAGGCAACUAUAUAGACCAAUACAAUUAAACAAAGCCAGCGGGUAGGUUUCAAAUAUUAAGUAGCAGGGCUCCAUAGUUAACUCUCCAUCAUGCAGGCAUUUAGUGUAGUAGAUACAAGACAUACGUGUGACAGAUUGCAUAUGAACAACAUUUAUUAGUAGGAAAAUUGUACUACCGUAUAUUGCACUAACACUAACUAUAUGAAGAAGCCAAUAGCAUGUAAUUUCAGCUUGCAAGAAAGCGCCACUUACUCUUAUAGAUCGGCUAAUCUACAUGGCAACUUCUGGGGAUGGUGAUGGAUAAGUACAGUUGGAUCGUUUUUAGAUGUUAAUCUAUUAUUAUAAAAAUCAUCUUCCUUUACUUUCAAGGGAGAACUGUAGAGGGGAAAGAACAACAUUUUUUAAUCUAAUGAUCCAUCACUUAUUCACAACUAUUGCAAUAACCAAGUAUGUUGGAUGCAAGGACGAGGUGAGAGUGCAGGCAACAUGUAUGUCACAUCAUGCGAACAGGUGGGGAUCAUGUUAAGUCAAUGCAGAAGGAUGCGUUGUGUGUCCGCGCACCGUCAACACCGCCGAGUAAACAGUAAACUAAACCUGGGGACCAGUGCUCUUGACCUUCCCAGCUACUUCUGGCAUAGGGGGAAUAUUUGAGGAUUUAUAGUGCUGAGAUUAGGGUUAGGAGNNNNNNNNNNNNNNNNNNNNNNNNNNNNNNNNNNNNNNNNNNNNNNNNNNNNNNNNNNNNNNNNNNNNNNNNNNNNNNNNNNNNNNNNNNNNNNNNNNNNNNNNNNNNNNNNNNNNNNNNNNNNNNNNNNNNNNNNNNNNNNNNNNNNNNNNNNNNNNNNNNNNNNNNNNNNNNNNNNNNNNNNNNNNNNNNNNNNNNNNNNNNNNNNNNNNNNNNNNNNNNNNNNNNNNNCUCCUCCCGAAGCUUCCUAGGUUUCUUCUGGUCCAAGAAAAAUCAUCGUAAAGUUUUAUUCGUUUGGACUCCGUUUGAUAUUCCUUUUCUGUAAAACUCAAAAACAAGAGAAAAAAACAGAAACUGACACUGGGCUCUGGGUUAAUAAGUUGGUCCCAAAAAUAAAUAAAAUAACAUAUUAAUGCAUAUAAAUCAUCCAAAAUAGAUAAUAUAAUAGCAUUGAACAACCAAAAAUUAUAGAUACGUUGGAGACGUAUCAGGAUCAUGUUAAGUCGAUGCGAAAGGAUGCAUUGUGUGUUCGCACACUGGAUGCUUGCAUUUAUAUGGCUCUAUCAGCAUCGCCGAAUAAACUAAAUCUGGGGACCGGUGCUCUUGACCUUCCCAACUACUUCGACUGGAAAUCAGAUCCUCCAUGCCAAAUAAGAAAGACCGUUCAGGUCGUGCUGAUAGAGAGGAAAGAGACCACUCACCUCCGACAAUGGCACGUGUGGCUCGCCUGAAGGUCCUUGGGUUGAAUCCACGGUGUUGGGCUAGCGUAGCACCCAUUGGCGGCAAUCAUGGGGCUCCAAGAUGGCGUCACCGUGUAGAUGUCUGGUGUUGUUGGCCAUAGACGGUUUUGUCAAAGGCGACGCAUUAUGGAAAGAUGGAGAGAUAAAAGAGGGGAGGAGAAGAACCUGGAAGACAAUAGAUAUUUAUUGGUGAAGGGGAGAUGAACGGAAUCAUCGGGCGAAGAGGUGAUGGCUCGUGUCCGCAUUAGUAUUUUCCCCGAAGAGGAAGGGAUGAUGCAACACAGCUACGGUAGGUAUUUCCCUCAGUGAUGAGACCAAGGUUAUCGAACCAGUAGGAGAACCACGCAACACUAUGUAAAUGGUACCUGCACACAAAGAACAAAUACUUGCAACCCGACGCGUAAGAGGGUUGUCAAUCCCUCCCGGGUAAAAGAUAGAUUGGUUUCUAGUAGAUUGGAUAAAUAGAUCUCGCGGAAACGCAAAAUAAAAUAAAUAACAAAAAAUUGCAUCAAGGUAUUUUUGGGUUUUUAGAAUAAUAGAUAUCUAUACCUAUUAAUAAAAGAAAUAGGUAUUCUUCGUCCGUCAUGCUAUUUUGUAGAAAACCCCCUGAUGUUUCUGACAUUAAACCAGCAGUACAUAUCAAGUGCUUUUUAAAAUACUCAUAAUUUUAAACCAUAACUCCAAAUUUAACAUAUUAUAUAUGGAAUUUAAUUAGAAAAUUAUUUAGAAUCUAAAUAUGAUGUUAUUUUACCUGUUAACAAUUUUUAAAAUAAACUAUCUAGGCUGCAAUGUUAAUCAACAAUGCAUUAUCCGUCUUUUUUUCAUACCGGUAUUGAUUUAGAUUGGGGAUGAAAACCUCAGCAAAAUCAGGAUUGGACAUCAGAUUGAAGAUAAAUUUGUUAGAGACACCGAAUAAAUAAGGACAUGCAUGACAAGAAAUAAAAAGAUCCAAUAAAGAUGGGAUGUCCGCUAUAAAAAUAAAUAAAAGAGAAAAUGCAGAGGAGAUCCGAUAAAGAUGAGAUGUUGCGCUAUUCUCCUAUAUAUAAGAAGAGUAAAAGGAGGACAUGCAUGAAAAAAGGUAAAAAGGAGGCAUGCAUGAAAAAAAUACAAGUUUUAUAAGAAAUAAAUAGUGAUGAAACAGGGACCAAUACCUAUGACAUGUAUGGCAAGAAAUAGUGAUGAAAUAGGGGCACAAGUACCUGAGUCAACAGGAGACCAUAAAAAAUGUUGUUUUCCAGACCAAAAAAAACCUAUUUUAUGAUUAAAAAAUCUUGUACCUUUUUAACAACCUUUUUAACUCUUCAUGUAUUUAAGAAAUAGCUACAAAUUCUCGGAUUAUAAAACAUUUUUUGUAAAUUAAGAGUGUGUGGUACUUUUUUCCCGUUGCAACGCACGGGCCUUUUUGCUAGUGAAAAUAAAAGAGGCAAAUAAUAGAUCGGAAAGCAAAUAUGAUAAAGAAUAGACCCAGUGGCCGUAGAUUUCACUAGUGGCUUCUCUCCAGAAAAAUUGCAUACAGUGGGUAAACAAAUUACUGUUGGGUAAUUGAUAGAACUUCAAAUAAUUAUGACGAUAUCCGGGCAAUGAUCAUUAUAUAGGCAUCAUGUCCUAGAUUAGUAGACCUACUCCUUCCUGCAUCUACUACUAUUACUCCACACAUCGACUGCUAUCCAGCAUGCAUCUAGUGUAUUAAGUUCAUGGAAAAAUGGAGUAAUGCAAUAAGAAUGAUGACAUGAUGUAAACAAGAUCUAUUCAUGUAGGAAUAGACCCCAUCUUGUUAUCCUUAAUGCAACGAUCAAUAUGUGUCUUGCUGCCCCUUCUGUCACUGGGAAAGAACACCGCACGACCGAUCCCAUCACAAAGCACCUCUUCCCAUGGCAAGAAAAAUCGAUCUAGUCAACCUAACUAAACAAAAGAUUCGAAGAAGAAUACGAGGCUAUAAGUAAUCAUGUGUCUAAGAGAUCAAAACUCAAAUAACUUUCAUGUAUAAAAUAGAUCUGAUCAUAAACUCAAAGUUCAUCGGAUCCCAACAAACACACCGCAAAAAGUGUUACAUCAAAUAGAUCUCCAAGAGACCAUUGUAUUGAGAAUCAAAAGAGAGAGAGGAAGCCAUCUAGCUACUGCCUACGGACCCAUAGUUCUACAAUGAACUACUCACGCAUCAUCGGAGAGGCACCAAUGAGGAUGAUGAACCCCUCUGUGAUGGUGUCUAGAUUGGAUCUCAUGGUUCCGGAACUUGCGGCAGCUCGAAUUGUGUUUCGUCGACUCCCCUAGGGUUUUUGGAUUUUCGGGGUAUUUAUAGAGCAAAAAGGUUGUGCGGGAGGGCACCGAGGUGGGCACAACCCACCAGGGCACGCCUGGGCCCCCAGGCGUGCCCAGGUGGGUUGUGUCCCCUGGGGACACCCAUCUGGUACUUCUUUGGCCCAAGUUGUUCCUUCUGGUCUAGAAAAAUUCUCCAAAAAGUUUCGUUGCGUUUGGACUCCGUUUGGUAUUGAUUUUCUGCGAAGUAAAUAACAAGCAAAAAAUAACAACUGGCACUGGGCAAAUAGGUUAAUAAAAUGAUAUAAAGUUGCUAUAAAAUGAUUGUAAAAUAUCCAAGAAUGAUAAUAUAACAGCAUGGAACAAGCAAAAAUUAUAGAUAUGUUGGAGACGUAUCAAGAGGCAAUAAGAGGAAGGCGCAGCAAUCAGUUCGACGGUAGUAAAAAAUUACACGAUUCCUUUCGUUGAAAAGGGAAAAAGGAAGCAUUGGUGAUGUGGCAGAUUUUCUAACCUGGAUGGCAGCAUGUUGAUUGCUGAUGUGGAUAGGCUACAUGUCAAGAGAAAUACGGUACUGGGGAUGAACUAUUUAGGUAUUAUAUAUGCGCAACAUCACAUCUAAACUCUUUAUGAAAUUACAAAACACGAUGGUUUUUAAAAUGGAUAUAUUUUGGAACCCAAUUUUUUAAAAUUUAUGAAUAAAUUUUUGAAAACUUGAACAAUUUCUUGAGUCUAUGAACAAUUUUUUGAACACGAACUUUUUUUCAAAAUUUCAAAACGCAAUUAUUUUUUUAAUGUAACCUUUUUCAAAAUUCAAAAACAUGAUUGUUUGUAAAGUGAAUAUGUUUUUAAAAUUCUAGACUAAAUUUGCAAGUUGAAUAUGUUUUGAGAAACACUCGAAAUUGUGGACGUUUUCUAAAACGUCAAAGAACUUUGAAAAACAUCAAACAUUUUUCAAAGCACGGAUUCUGGGAAAAAAACAAAUUCCGAACAUCUUUUAGAAAUUUUGAAUUUAUGAAAAAAGAAAAAGAAGCAGAAAAUGAAAAAAGAAAGAAAGCAAGGAAAAGCAGUGAAGAAAUAAAACAGAAAAAGGGAAAAAACCUGAAAAUAGUGGUAAAGACUGAUCCUAGCUACUUGGGCUGGUCCAUCUAUGGUUUACUCGCUGCUCAUUUCGGAGAUUUCUUUUAGGGGUAAAACCAAGUUUUAUACAUCAAACACCAUAGAGUGUGGGAUAGAGUUUGGGUCAUGGCAUUUUCCAAAGCAAACAUUGCGUCCCAGACCUAACGAAAGAGAAAACCUGCCUAGAUUAUGUGCUUCGACAUUUACAGGAUGAUCUUUAGAUAAAAAAAUACAAUGAAAUAAAUACGGUUGCAACUUGAUCUCGUUGAUAAUGGCUCGUUUCCACAUAGUUUGCUCACAUUUUUGAGAGAAAAUUUAGCCUUGAUGGGCUGGGAAAUUGGGCCAGCCAUCCUCGAGUGUGACUGGCUUGUCUUUGUCUAGUAUAAAUCCCAUCACGUUGCCCAAGAGCCCACCCUUAUCUAUUUUUCUACAGGACCCAUAUAUGUUUGGUUCCUUCAGCACGAUGGGCCGCCUCCCAGCCUCCCUCGCCCGCUCGACAGCUCCCCCACCAAUAGAGUUAGGCCCUCGACCCUCCCCCACCCCAAGGUUGCGAGCAUGUCCCUUCCCGACAUCUCUUCCACACGGCCUCGUCCCACCCCAUGUUCUCCCCCAAGUGCUUUGUCGAGUGUCAUGGAAAAAUAUUCUUGGCAAGAUAGUGGAACUCACGCAAAAUGUGCUUUAUCGAGUGCUACACUCGGCAAAAGGGGGUAUGCAGGGAAGCAAAAUCAUGCUUUUUUCCUUCUCGGGAAGCUGCGCUUCCCGUGGAAGGCUUCAUCAAAAACCAGAAAAAAAGAUUUUUUUUUUCAUCAAAACCUAGGGAAAAUAAAAGAAAAAAAACACGUGUAAAAAAUAAAAUCUUAAGGGUGUACCUGCACACGACAUGUGGCCGCAGUUGGGCACAUCACUUGAUGCGCUCUCAGGGCCUCAAAGUAACCUCUGCAGGAACCCUCGACAAGAAACCCAUCAGACAGUUGGAGUCUCCCUUGCGUCAAAUAGGAGUGUGGCCACAAGGGGAGCGCGUCCUGGUCGGCCGGCCCAGUAGCCUGUAGCACUCUACCGCAAAUUUGUCAAAAUCUAAAACAUGACGUUUGAGCAAAGCUCGCAUGGCUAGCCAGUCAAGCUGAUGAAACUUUGCCAACUACUAUGUCGCGUUGAUCAGUAAAAAUUAUGUGCAACAUCACAUAUGAAAAAAAAUUGGAAUUUCAAAACACGGUUGUUUUUAAAAUGAACUAGUAAAGUGGCCCGCUCGAUGUGCGGGCUAGAUUUUUAAGUUUUUUUUAAUAAUAUCAUAUUGUUUGAUUUGGCUAAAGAAAAAUUGGAACCCAAUAUGACGACUUUAUUGUGCGGGCUCAAUCUUUGAAUUGUCUAUUAUGUUUUAUGAUUGAAUUUCUUAUCUGUAGUAAGUCAAUACAUAAUUAUGACGACUUUAUUGUGCGGGCUCAAUCAAUAUUAUUAUUUACUGUUAUUCUUCUUAUUUUUAUUGUUAAAAAAACAAUGUUAAAGUCAACCCAUUUGAAAAAAACUAAUUUAAUGUAAGUAUAGUAUCUAAAGUCCUAGUAUAGUAAUUUCAUUUCAAUUUAAUUUUAUUGUAUUCUUCCAUUUUGAAAAUGUAUUUUUAUUAUGAAUCUAGCACUUUAGUUAAAAUACAAAUAAAACUACUACAUUACUGAUCCCAAAAUUAAACAAAAAUGUGUACAUAAACUUGUCUUUAUCAUCGAUGAAUUACAACCAGAUCAUAUGUUUAAAUAAUGGAUAUUUAUAUUAUUAAUCAACCAAGCAUAGUUCUUUUGAUCUCGUAGAUUGUGAUUUUCCAAUAGUGUCUUGUCUUUUUGUUUAUGUGCAAAUAAUAGUUCACCUAUCAUAUUUUACGAGAAUGGGAAACAAAUAUAAGAAAUAGAACUGAAAGAAUUAUAUGGACGUCUAUUCUUGGAAAAUUGUUUAUGGUGUCACCAUCUCGUUCACGUGUGAGUAUGCAAUCUAAUUUCUAACAUGGCAUUCUUUCAUGCGUGAAGAAAUUUCAAGUUAUCACAACGCGACAUGAGUUCGAUAGAAUAUUAACUCAUUCGGAAAAAAAGAUAUGUACAUACAAAACUAAUGAAGUAACUUCAGUAAAAAUUAAUAUGUUACCCAAGAUUUUGAGGGACUGUGAUUUUGAAGGGGUAUUACAUUUUUGUAAUGUUAACUUGACACAUUGGUGAGAAACACAAUUCGAAUAGAAUACACUAAAGCUGAGAAAACAGAACUUUGUUGAACAAUAAUUAACCGGCUAAGAACUUACAAUGUAUCAUGCCUUUGCUGUUAACAACUAUAUGCAGCAGUAUUUUUUUUAUAUUUAUAAUUAUCACUCAAACUAACUUUUUAGAAAGCAUACUAAUUAGUUAGAUAUUCAGGGAUGCAUUGAUAACAGUAAUCGCUAUCGUCUAGCCUUGCCUCCUGUCUGAUGCACUACAAGCAAAGGAUUCAAAACUACGUUUUCCUGUAAUGUAAAACAAUAAUACUUCAUGGAGAUCAUGUUUGCAUGUGCAUAUGGAAUUUAUCAAUAGUAGGUAGAAAAGUCCUAGCUAGCUUAGCUUAGCUUAGGAUAACGCCCUGGCAUCUAAACUGCUUCAUAUAUGCAAUCCAAUUGUAUGGGUCAAAUAUACAAAACCUGAAGCUCAUGGUCUAGAUGUUUCAUUGAUAAUAUCAUUUCCACCAGACUGGCGACCGAUUAUACAGUAGUCUACCUGUAUUGUUUAACACUGAGAUACCGCAUCAGCCAAAUCAUAGCACCUGAGGUGCCUCUUCUAGUGGACGGUGAGAGCAUAUCUGUAAUAAUCAUCCUUUGUAUAACAUUAUUUAUACCUCCAAAUGUUGCACCACACAUGUUCAUCUUUAGAGUCAAGCCCUAUUGCAGCGCAGGUUGUGCUUGGCCAGCACCUUCGUGAUGAACUUGCCAGUGACCACAGUGCAAGCAACUACCAGUACCCAGGAAGCCUCGACGAAGCCAAUGACGUACUGCUCUAUUUCGCGCCGGUCCCAUGUGGCCCACUUGUUUCCCUGAGCAUGUCGGUAUCGACAAAGGAACGAUAGUCGCUAGAUUAAAGGGAAGUGAGAUGGAAAGACACACUCGAGGAGGAAGAUGUUUAGGACUAUGUAUUUGCAUACUCUUUUGGAUCAAGGACGUGGGAUGUAAGUACGGUGUUUGCCUUUUUUUCUUUCUCUUUUUAGCUUUGAAGGGAUGUGUACAUGUUUUUUUUUAUGUCUACAUGCUUGAUUUUUUUUCCUCUGGAGGGAUAUGUACUUGUUUGUAUUUUUAAAAGGUUGGGGGAUCAUUCAUUUUGUACGCACUUGUUUUUUUUUCAAAUGUAUGUACGUGCCUGAUGGAUAUGUGUGGGGACGUUCUUUUUUAUAUAUGUGGGAUAUGUACGUGCNNNNNNNNNNNNNNNNNNNNNNNNNNNNNNNNNNNNNNNNNNNNNNNNNNNNNNNNNNNNNNNNNNNNNNNNNNNNNNNNNNNNNNNNNNNNNNNNNNNNNNNNNNNNNNNNNNNNNNNNNNNNNNNNNNNNNNNNNNNNNNNNNNNNNNNNNNNNNNNNNNNNNNNNNNNNNNNNNNNNNNNNNNNNNNNNNNNNNNNNNNNNNNNNNNNNNNNNNNNNNNNNNNNNNNNNNNNNNNNNNNNNNGUGCCUGAUGGAUAUGUGUGGGGACGUUCUUUUUUUUUUCCAUGAUGGAUGAACGAUGUGGGAUGUGUAUUUUUUUAUAUCUGGGGGGUACACUCUUUUUUAGUGUCCACCGGGUUAUGAAGAUCUAAGGCCUAUGAUUUAUUAGUACAGAGAAGUUCUAUUAAAUCAACCAUCGGAUACUUCUGAUUUUUAUAGAAUUUUUGAUCAUAUUUCUCUUUGUUAGUUAACCUGCUAUUUACUUUUAAUAUAUAGUAGAUACUAUAUAUGCAGUACGUGACCAUGUAUGAGUUUGUGAGGGAUUCUCUAUAUACACAUAUGUGCGUUUGUUUUUUCCUUAUGGAACAGAUGUGCAUGCACGUGCUUUCCAAUUAACAUGGUAGGCUUGCCAAAAAAAAUUAACGUGAUUCCUCACGCAACAUCUUUUUUUAUAGAAGAGCUCUGACAACCGAAUAAUCCAGGCUUUUUUUCUAGAUUGGAAAAUAUCUACGUGGGACAUGUGCCAUGUAAAUCCUUAGAGGCCCAUCAUAUUAUAUAUGUUACGUAAAUUGAACGGUCACGUAAUCUUAAUUUUAAGAGAUUUACCGGAUCGAGGGUUAUUAUUUUCUAAUUAAUGUGGAAUUUUAUAACCUAUUUCUCUCCCUUUUGGUUCACCGUAUAUUACUUUUAGUAUAUAAAAUAGAUGGUUUUUGGAACAUGGACUUUUUCCAAAUUUAUGAAUAAAAUUUGAAAACUAGAGCAAUUUUUGACUAUAUCAAGGUUUUUUUUUAACACAAACUUUUUUUGAAAUUUUAAAACACGAUUAUUAUUUUAAUACAACCUUUCUUAGAUUUCAAAACACGUUUUUAAUGAAUAUUUUCUUAAACCCUACCAAAAGUUGAAAAUUUGAACAUUUUCAAAAACACUCCGAAGUGUGGACAUUUUCUAAAAAACGUGAAAGGAUUUAGGAAAACUUCAAACUUUUUCAAAGCACGAAUAAUUUUUGGGAAAAAUGAAACAAAAUCAAAUUCCGAACAGUUUUUGAACAUUUUUUUAGAAAUGUUGAAUUUAUGAAAAAAAAGGAUAAAUUAUGAAAGAAACGAAAAUUGGUGAAGAAGAAAACAAGAGAAGGAAAAAAACUAAAAAAUAGUGUAAGAAAAAAACACCAAUACUAGCUACUUGGGAUGGUACAUAUGCGGUUUGCUCACUGCACAUUUCCUAAAUUUUUUUAGGGGUAAAAGCAAGUUUUAAUCAUCAAACACCAUAGAGUGUGGGAUAGAGUUGGGGUCGUGGAAUUGGUUAAACCCAACGCGGCGUCCCAGACCUAACGAAAGAGAAAGACUGGCUAGACUAUGUGCUUCGACAUUGAUAGCAUGACCUUUACAAGAAAAAUUACUAUCAAAUAAAGAUGGUUGCAACUUAAUCUCGUUGAUAAUGGCUCGUUUCCCACAUAGUUUGCUCACAGUUUUUGAGAGAAAAUUUAGCCUUGAUGGGCUGGGAAAUCGGGCCAACCAAUCUCAAGUGCGACCGACUCAUCUUUGUCCACUAGAAAGCCUGCCACGUCGCCCAAGAGCCAACCCUUAUCUUUUUUUUACAGGACCCGUAUAUGUUUUAUUCCUCCAGCAAGACCGGUCGCCGCCAAGCCUCUCUCGCCCGCUCGACAGCUCCCCCCGCUGCCGGGGCUAAGCCCUGGAUCCCCCCACCCCCAGGUUGCGAGCUUGUCCCAUCCCUCCCUCUCUUCUGCGUAGCCUCGCCCCACCUCGUCUUCUCCCCCACCGGUGCUUUGCCUAGUUUCUUGGAAAAAAACUCUCGAUAAAAUAUUGGAACUCUGAUAAAAUGUGCUUUCCUGAUUGCUACACUCGGCAAAAGGGGGUAUGCACUGCACUGUUUUGGUUGUCCAUAUUGCAUACGACCUCGGAUGAAGAUGAUCCCAAAAUCAAAGUUUAUCAUUUUGACAAGAUGAUUAAUUUUCAUGUUCAGAACUUUUCCAUUUUAAGCCAUGUUAUUUACACUUUGGGCAAUGCCAAAAUAUGGUCUCAAAUGAAUAUGGCGGUGGUCAUAUUUAUAGCAUAGUUUCUGACAAUGGGCCUAAAGUUGGCAUUUUGUUGCAUCUCGCCAUUACAAACAAUGAUGCCAAAUAGAGUUUCCAACAUUUUGUACAAAAACUAAUUUUCCCAUUUGCUAAGUGUAAAAAAUGGAUAUUUUAUGAAGCGGGUAAAAAAACAUAGUGCAAAAUGGCACCACCCCAAUUUACAUAAAAAGUAGACCACAUGUUUUAGAAAAUUCCCAGGUUUUGUGGAUCUUCUAGAUUUCUAGCUACUUUCCACAGUUAAAUUCAAAUUUGAACUUUAAGUCUGUGAUAGCUUUGUCCUAAAAAUUAGCAAAAAUGUAAUCUAUUUUUUUAGGUAUGCAAGUAGUCAUUUUAUGAAAUCACCACUUAAGUUUGAGAGAUUCAGGCCCUUGCCAUGACUAUCCAUGCCGGGCAUUUUGACCCCGUUUUGGAAAAAUGAAACAAAAAGGAUACAAGUUCAAAAAAAAUGCAAUCCAUUCGUAUGGACUCCUUUUAUGUGUACUAGCUAGGAUGAAAAUACCAAACUUCAAUAUGAAAACUUUGAAAGAAAAAUAUCCAUCACAAAACGGGCUAUCAUGUAUGAACCUUCACGGCUUUAAAGUCAAACGACCAAGGUGACGACAAUAUCCAUUCCAUAGUUUAUUAUAUUAUGCCCAAAUUAGACAUAUAGGUGAAUCAUGCCAUUGCAAAUAAUGUUGUAAAAUAGAGUUUCCAACUUUUUGUACAAAAAAUCAUUUACUAUUUUCUAAGUAUCAAAAAAAUGGGUGUUUCUUGUGAAGUGGGUUCAAAAAAUAGAGUGGAAAAUGGCACCACUCCAAUUUUCACAAAAAGUAGACCAUAUUAGAUGGACAAUUCCCAAGUUUUGUAGAUGUCUAGAUAAAAACUAACAAUUGGUGUAUUUUUUAAUAUUUAAUGAAAAUAAAAAACGGGCGAGAAUAUGACCAGGGGUGUAAACUGUGGAGGGGGCGCCGCACACGGCUAACAAUUGAUGUUGUGUGUUCUAGGCGCCCCCUUCCCCACAUAUAUAUAGGUGGGAGGGGAGGGGAGGCAGCCAGGGGGCACCCCAAGUAGGAUCUGAAUCCUACUUGGGGUUUCCCCAANNNNNNNNNNNNNNNNNNNNNNNNNNNNNNNNNNNNNNNNNNNNNNNNNNNNNNNNNNNNNNNNNNNNNNNNNNNNNNNNNNNNNNNNNNNNNNNNNNNNNNNNNNNNNNNNNNNNNNNNNNNNNNNNNNNNNNNNNNNNNNNNNNNNNNNNNNNNNNNNNNNNNNNNNNNNNNNNNNNNNNNNNNNNNNNNNNNNNNNNNNNNNNNNNNNNNNNNNNNNNNNNNNNNNNNNNNNNNNNNNNNNNNNNNNNNNNNNNNNNNNNNNNNNNNNNNNNNNNNNNNNNNNNNNNNNNNNNNNNNNNNNNNNNNNNNNNNNNNNNNNNNNNNNNNNNNNNNNNNNNNNNNNNNNNNNNNNNNNNNNNNNNNNNNNNNNNNNNNNNNNNNNNNNNNNNNNNNNNNNNNNNNNNNNNNNNNNNNNNNNNNNNNNNNNNNNNNNNNNNNNNNNNNNNNNNNNNNNNNNNNNNNNNNNNNNNNNNNNNNNCCCCCGGUACUCCUAUAAAUACCCGAUACAUUCGGGAACACUUCCGGUGUCCGAAUACUAUCAUCCUAUAUAUCAAUCUUUACCUGUCGACCAUUUCGAGAUUCCUCGGCAUGUCCAUGAUCUUAUUCGGGACUCCGAACAACAUUCGGUCACCAUAUCACAUAACUCAUAUAAUACAAUAUCAUUAUCGAACGUUAAGCAUGCGGACCCUACGGGUUCGAGAACUAUGUAGACAUGAUCGAGACACCUCUCCGGUCAAUAACCAAUAGCGGAACCUGGAUGCUCAUAUUUGAUCCUACAUAUUCUACGAAUAUCUUUAUCGGUCGAACCGUUAUGACAACAUACAUUAUUCCCUUUGUCUAUCGGUAUGUUACUUGCCCGAGAUUCGAUCGUCGGUAUCUGCAUACCUAGUUCAAUAUCAUUACUGGCAAGUCUCUUUACUCGUUUUGUAAUACAUCACCUCACUAACGGAUGGGUCUUGUCCAUCACAUCAUUCUUCUAAUGAUGUGAUCCCGUUAUCAAAUGACACCUCAUGUCCAUGGUUAGGAAACCUUAACUAUCUUUGAUCAACGAGCUAGUCAAGUAGAGGCUCACUAGGGACAUAGUGUUUGUCUAUGUAUUCACACACGUAUUGAGGUUUCCGAUCAAUACAAUUCUAGCAUGGAUAAUAAACAUUUAUCAUGAAUAAGGAAACAUAAAAUAAGAACUUUAUUAUUGCCUCUAGGGCAUAUUUCCUUCAAAUCAGUAUAUGUGUGCAUGCUUGGUUGUUAGUGAAAUGUUUUAUGUAUAUGUGUACAUGCUUGGUUGGGCCAACUUUGUGUAUUACAUUUUGUGAAAUACAAACUUGAUAUAUGCCACAUUUGUGUUAACGACCAAUAAGUAUAUACGUAACUAUAUUUUGCCUUCUUUUUCCUCCUCCACAAGAAAAGGUCCCAUGCUUUUCUCCUCCUCCAAUUGGCGCCGUAGCUAGUCCGCCCCAUCUUUGAUGGCCUUUGGGCCCUUUAGUACUGUACCGAACCAGCAGCCUUCGCGCCAAGCGACGACCGCCCUUGUCCCUUUCCUUUUUCCAUUCAGCCUACUUCUUAGCUUUGUUCUGUCAGUCUAAGGCAAAGCUUAAGUGGUUUGCCUACCUUACCCACUUGAUGAAAGGGAACGGACUUCAUUUCCUUGGCGGCUUUAUGGAUGGAUUCAGUCAGAAAAAACUCCUUCCUUUUGAAAAAAGUGACGCCACGAAGGUGAGUAGGACCUCAGGCCCUCGCUGGCGGGAGGGAACCUGUUCUCAUUCUUUUUUGGUUCAAUGUCUUGCUGGAGCGCUGUGUUGCGGCUAUGAUGUCUCUCAGUAGGAAUAAUGUUUCACAUGUUCUAUCCCUGUCUCGAUGGUGCCUCUAGCAUCAUCAUAGGGCAUGUGGAGGUGUGUCUCUAUCGGAUUUCGCAGGAUUCGGUCGGCAUUAGUCUUCGGUGGAUCUGUUUGGACACGGUCUAUGUUCAUCUUUGUGGUGUUUAUACUAUUGAUCCUUCCGAUCUAUGACUUUCUUCAUCGACGAUGGUUGCUGCUUCGGUGCGCUGGUCCUAUGGGUCCUUAGCACGUCAACUUCCUGACUAUUGACUACAACAAGGUUUGCCCGGCUCCAGCGAUCGGGGGGGGGGGUGAUGGCGAUGCACAGCUUUCUUUAGUGCUUGUAGUCAUCACUAGGUGGUCCAUGGACCUGGUUGUAAUUUUUUGUAUCUCUGGUGUUCUUUGUACUGCCAUGAUUGAAGAUGAAUAGAUUGGAAGUUUCUCACGCAAAAAUAACUAUAUAAAUAACUAUUUUAGCAAAAUUCGCAAAAAAAACUAUUUUAGCAAGUAAUAAAUUUUGACACCAAUUAUAUGGUAGUAAUUAAUAUUUACCCUAAUAAUAUCCGCAUUGGAUUCAGGUUUUAUACUAUGUAUACAAACGAGAGUAUGUUUGGAUAAUUGUGUGAACACAAGGAUAUAUCUUAGCAAAACUAUUUUUAGCAACAAGUAAAUGAAUUAAUAUAUGCUAGCUAUACUCUGCUGGUGAAAACAUGGUGUAUUAGUUGUACAAAGCAUGCAACACGGUUUCACUCCCCUUUAUAUUCCUGGGCGGAACACAAUUUCAGAUCCAAGUUUUAUGUUUGUCUACACAGUCCCAUCUUCUUCCCAUAUCAGCAGGAAAAUUCACUCCAAUCAUCUCGCCAUUCUACACUUGGGUAAUCAGGUUUGCUUCAAUCUACCAUCCUUGAAUAUAUGCCCCACAUCUUGUUUCUGCGUCCUAAUCUUAUUAAGCUUGUAAUUAGUAGUUAGUGCAAGAUCAAAAAGGAGCUAUGGACAAAACACCAUCCGCACCUGCUGAUAAAAUCACCAUAGGACAAGCGGUGCCUAAUCAUGAAAUAGCAGGAGAUUCAAGUGACAGUGAGAGAACAAUCAGUGAGGGUUAUGUGGGGAUCAUGUAUGGUGGUAGCCAAACCCACGAUGGCAACCUAGAAGGAGAAUCUGAUAUGGUAUUGCUAGCAACAGAUUCAAGUGACAGCGAGAGAACAACCAGUGAGGGUUAUGUGGGGAUCCUGUAUGGUGGUAGCCAAAUCCAGGAUGGAGACCUGGAGGGAGAAUCGGCUAUGGUAUUGCCUGCUGUAGGAGAGAAUACCACGGCGAGAUCUAACAGUCAUGGUUAUACGCGUAGCUUGGAAAUUGAUUCUACCUCUCGUAGUGAGAGGCAUGCUGCCAGGUCAGAUUCUGUUCUAGUGGCACAACGCCGAGACUGCAUACAAAUUUACCCUGAGUGGCUGGAGAAAAUUGAUUCAGGCAAAAAGAUGUGGACAGCUCUCAACCAAUUUCGAGCAAAUGGGAAGCACGAAGAGGUUAGUAUAUACACAUGUUCUGGUGUGCUCUCUCAUCAAAUAAUUUUCAUUGUGGGUUAAUCAUCUCAUAACAUAAGGAGUGUUUGCUUGAUGGGCAUUCAGACCAAAUGAUGAACGAAUUAGAUCCUAGGUUCUCCAAAAGAUGACAUUGUGUUUUGCUUCCGUUACCUCAUAGAUUUUCAGCCUUUGCGUCAAAAUGAUUUUAUGCAUUUGUUUUCGCACUAACUUGUAUUUUUUAAGCACAACCAUCCAUAUAUGUAAAAAAACUCAUGGCCACGUGUGAUUGAUAGAAAUCAGUUAACAUCUCAAUUUCCUCAUGUGCUAUUGUAUGACUACG